AUGUUUUUUUUCUUUUUUUUCCGUAAACUCAUUCUCUAAACAUUAUUUAAAUUUUGAUUUACAUAUGUCAUGGUUCAUUUUAACAAAAAUUGACAAGGCUUCAAUUUAACUGGUACACGUAUAAUUCUAUUUUUUAAUAAAAUUUAUAUUUUUGACAAAAAAGUUUUAAAUAUGAUAAUGAGUUUGACUGAUAUAUCACCAUUAAAGUAUCAUUUCUUAACAAAUAAUUAUUUUUGACAAAAAAAUUAAAUAUAUUAAUAAAUAAUAAUUCAUAUAUCUUCAUUGAAACUAUAUAUAUCACAUUAAUUACAAACAAACUAAUUAUAAAUAUAAUUUUGAGUAACUUUUUUUUAAAGAAGAGUUUAUACUCUAAGAUUUUUUUCAAGAGAUAAUUGGGUCAAUAUACUCCAAUCGCUAGAAAAUUAAAAAAGUACCCAAAAACAAAAAGAACUUGUUGGGCCCGUACCUUUUUGCGUCCCCCUUUCCAAAAAUGCCCUUAUCGCCUCGAGACGUGCGGCGAGUAGGUGAAAAGUUGCGAGUCAGCGUGAUCUUCAGAAGUGCAAACAAAAGAUACUAUUCUGAUAUAGCUUUCCGGCUGACAUCUUUUCGAGCGACCGGUUUCUUUAGGUUACUCUGUCAAGUACAAACGGAUCGAAACAAAAGCCCCUGGAAACAUCUGUGGAUCGUAAAAAUGGGGGGGGGGGGGAAUUACAGGUUAUCCGAAUUUUUUUUGGGAUUUUGGUAGUGUAUUUAAUGGAGGUCUGGGAAAACAUAAAUGUAAAGCAUAAUCGAUAGAGAGAGAAAGAAACAUGUUAGAGUGAGAUUGCUCUAGUGGCGAAGAUCCUUUUACAGUAGUCGUUAUCCCUUUGUGUUCGAGGUAUGUCUCUAAUAUUUUUUAGAUUUUACUUUCUGCAUUAAAUUUCUUAACUGCAAACAAGUUUGAUACUACGAAAUAGGUGUUUUGGUCCAUUGACAUUUAUUUUGACUGUCAUAACUAUCACAGUAUUUUAAUUCCAGUGACAAGCAUCUCAAAUGUCACAUUCCCCACGGAUAUUUCAGAAAAAAUUUCCUACUUGCGUAUCAUCUCCACAUGCUCAGGGAUAAUCCGAGGAAAGUGUGAUGUCGGGAUUAAAACACAAGAGGUAAAAGUCAGACACACAUACUUCAAACGCAUCUCUCUGUCUUUUAUUUUCUUCUUCUGUAGCAUUUCGAUGGUCGUGUCGACUAAGCAGAACUUGAGAGAUCCAAUUAGUUCCCUCCAGUCAAGCUUUUCCUUAAUGGGGUGCUUCUUCCGUUUGCAGUUUAUCUUCGGAAUCUUGCUGCAAUUGAGGCUGGUGACUUGUGCGAACUCGUGCAUUGACAUCCUGAGCGGCUUUCAGAGAAGAGAAACCAAGUCUUGUACUUUUUUCACGUGGAGGAUUCGGACAAUCACGAACUGGCCGAACCUUCCUGAAAAUGAAGGAUUAUCUGCUAGUGAAAUGAUCUUCCCAAACAUCGUCUGCUGCAGGAAGUGAACCUCUUCUGGCUCGAGCGCAUCUAAUAUAGAUUCAAUUCUCUUCAGUUUGUGGUAAGUGUUUACUCUAUCUCCGGAUGGUUCUUCACCAGCUACAAACAUCCGUUCAUGCAGUAUUGCUUGCUCCAUAGUGUCGCUCGGAGAUAAAGAAAGCGUCUUGUUUCUCUAAAGAAAUAAAAGUAGGUCUGGAGAAAUGAAGAUGCAAAAAUUGGAAAAGAGUGCUAUUUCAAAAGGAUCCCUUACACGUAAAUGUAAAAGCUGACUUUUCAUUUACCCUUUUCGUCAUUAAAGUAAAAAUAUUAGAAAUAAUCUAGAGAAGCCUCGAAACCUUAAGUGACAUGCCGUGUAAUAGUGUGUUCUACUAAUAGGGUCUGACACCAAGGCGGUGAAGACUAAAAGAUAAGCGUGUUAGGAUGUAGGGGCGAAAUGGUAUUAAAAUAAAAUAGAUCAAUAGGGUGGCAUUUGGCAAAUUUCGAAUAUUUCCGUAUACAUACAUCAUAAUUUCUCUUUUUCAAACGGGUUCUCAUUUCUAAGAGGAAAAGAAAAGGAUUAUUUUUAUGAUGUACUAGAUAUAUAUAUAUAGAUAUGGUUCUGUAAGUUGCACAUCUGUUAUUUGUUAUAUUAGUUUUAAAAAUUACUAUCAAAUAGAUUUUAAAAUUUUAUUUUUAUUAGGAUUUUAUAAAAUAAAAAUAUUAAAAAAAUCUUUUUGUUUAGGAUUUAAAAAAAUGGAAAAUUACUAUCAAAUUUUCUUUUACAGUUUUUAAGGGAUUUUAGAAAAGUAAAUUACUAUCACAUAAUCUUUUGCAAUUAUAUUUUUUUAGAAUUUUAGAAAAAAAAUUACUAUCAAAUACUUAUUUCCAAUUAAUAUUAAAUAAUUUUACAAUUUUACAAUUUGAUAAUUUAUUUUUGUUAAUAUCAAGAUUAUUUUAGGCUAUACUUUUAAAAAAAAAUAUCAUUUCUCUUUUAGUUAGGAUUUAAAAGGGAAAAUUUCUAAUUUUUUUAAGAUUUUAAAGCAGAAAAUUAUUAUCAUAUAAUUGUAUGUUAUUAUUGUCACAUGUAACAAUUUUUUAUUAAUAUAUCUCACGAUCAUGUUAAUUAAAAAGCUUAGAAAAACAAAAUUUUGAUUAUCCUCGAUAAAAGAAAAUCCGUGAGAUCUAAGAGGCUAAAUUUUUUUUUUUUUUUUUUUUCUAAGAGGCUAAAUUACAUAAGACUAAUCUGAGACACACGUAAUAGAAUGUUGACUGAAGAAUGAUCUUGACUUGGGAUCAUAGAAAAUUAAACAGAGGCUAAAUUACUUAUUUUCACAUACGUAAACAACUUUCAAACUUUACGUUUCAAAUUUACACUACGUCAUUACCUAUGGUUUGAUCUGAAACAAAUUCAAACUAUUAAAAAAAAAAAUAGGAAGCCGAAAGAGAAAGAAAAAGAUAACAAUUAGAAUUCUUCCAGAGGAGACCGGAGAAAAACUAGAAGCCUAUUGAAAGACGAUAAAAGAAUCGGGUUGUGUGAAAUUAAAUUGACAUUAUGCCCUAUCACCAUUUACGAUCAAUCGAAAUUCAAUAGUUCUUAUCCAAGCCGUAUUUAAUGAUAUACUCCUUUCAUUCCAUGAAUAUAAUAGUUUUGAGAUUUUUAUUUGUUUCACAAAUAUAAUACUCUCUGUGUUCCUAAAAAUUAAUGUUUUCGAAUUUUCAUACUUUUUAAUGUAUUGUUUUUUGUAAUUUUAUAUUUUUUAUAUUUUUAAAUCAAUAAAUUUAAAAAAUGCAAUUGAUGUUUUUGAAUUUCACAAUUUUCAUUAUUAAUUAACAAAAAUUACAUUGUAAAUAUAAAUAUGUAUUUUUUUGAAAUAAUUUUUUUUCUAGAAUAUAAAUUUUUAGGAACGGAAUGAGUAGUUUAAUGUGUGUUUAAUAUAAUUCAAUAGCUUCGCCUUCCACACACCUUACAACAUGUUUUGUUGUUCUUCAGUCUACAUUUGGUCCAUUGGAUGUAUAUUUUUUUAAAUGUUCUUAAUACUAUUUCCUUGUUACAAACAUAUGAUGAUUCAUCUUUUCAUUGAUUCUAUCAUGUCUUUUUGGACACGAUCUUCCCAUCCUCAAAUCAUAAUUUCUUUAUUUUGAAUUUCCAUAGCUAACACGUGAGAUAUAUAUAUGCUUUACUUGUUUGAGAAGAAAUCAAUAAAAGGUUGAUGUCUAAGAUAAGCAUACUAUGCAUACAGUGGUGCUAGAAUGUUCGAGCCACAAUCCCAUUUUGAGAAGAGUAACCAGAUUUUCUCUCUAGGUACCAAAUACCAAUAAACAUAGAUAGAUUUGAAAAAAAUAAGAAGCAAUUAACAUAAUAUUUUUUUUGUCGGCACAAUGGCAUUAUCAUCUUCACGUAUAUAACAAUCCAAACUAUUCUUUAAAUGUGCCUCUGUAGAAAAUUGAACUUAUUUCAGACCGAAGAAUUCAGCUUUGUCCACUUCCGGAAAAUUGUCAUAAGUAAGAGAGAUGAGGAUUGGCUAAAUAACCCACAUAUCAAACCAAUCCACAAACCCUGUUUUCACCAAAAUAAUAGCUCCAAAAUAAACACAAAACCAUAAAUUUUUCUUUAUCAUCAAUCAAUUCAUAAGAGAGUAAUGCAGUUACCUUGGCAUAUAACUUCAACUUGAAACCACAGAAGGCUGCAAUAGGCAUUCCAAUGAAGUAGAAUGUUCCUAGAUUUACAACCGUGACUACCCUUUGCCAUCCGCAUCCUCUGGCCACUCCUGUAAGCAAUAAAAAGGGAGGUUUCUUUUUGCCUUCGAUUCAUCGAGAAAGAAAGAGGCUUUCUUGGAUCUUUUAUUGGGCCCUCUUUUAUUACCUGAUAGAACACCUUGGAUCGAAUCAAGAGUUAUAGAGGCAGCAAGGAAGAAUCUCAAUGAUGCAAACUCAUCUUUAAUUAAAGGACUAUUGCUGAAUAACCCAACCCAACCAUCAUGACCUACAAAUAAAGUAACCACUACGCCAAGAGCAAGAACUAACGACAACUUGGUGGAAACAGAAGUCGCCUUCUUUGCACCUUUUACAUUUCCUGCUCCAAGUUCGUUCGACACACGAGUACUGCAGCAUUUUUAAGUUUUACAUUUUCGAAACAAUAUAUUAAUGAGAGGAAAAUACAUAAUUUUCAUGACUCAUGAGAUUACUAACCUUGCAGCUGCGCUAAGUCCAUAUGUUAACAUGUAGCUAAUUGCUUCCGUGUUGACGCUGAAUUAAUUUAAUAUUUACGCAGCAAUAUGCUACUUUUGUUAGAGUGAAACAGAAAAUUAAUAAACUAAAUAGUAAUAUAAAACUUACCAUAUAGCUACCAGAGAGGUGGCUAUUUCCGGGUUCGGCAUCAGUCCUGCCAAGACCACAAGGAUCUCGAACGCCCAAUAUUCCAAGCUGUUGCAAUAACAUAGUCUCUUUAGAUUUAAGAAGCAUAUAUAUGGAAUUAUAAGCAGAUGACAAUAAUUAUUGAUCCGACCUACCACACCAUAGCAGCAGAAGGGAGACUUAAUGUCAAGUUUGUUACUACAUAACGGAUUGAUUCCAGUGAAAAUCCGGUCCAUGUAUCCUUAAACUUGUCGGAACAGAUCACAUAAGUCCCAAGAGAAAGGAAAGCUAUCCACAAUGAAAUAGAUGUAGCUAUUGGAGCACCAAUGAACCCAAGGCUAGUUAAAUAAACCAGAACAUAGGAUAUGCCGAUAUUAAUCACCAAGGGAACAAAUGAGAAGACAACUAAUGGAGUAACGAUUGAUUGUGUUUGGCAAAAUCUCAGUAUGUUUUGUAAGAAUCCGUAAGCGAGUAACCCGGGAGCUUGGUAUUUCAUAUAUAUUGCAGCUUGUUUUGAGAUGUUAGGAUCUUGUCUGAUAAGUCCGAAAACUGAUUCUGUGAAGAACCACAAGAUGGAGAUGAAGAUGGUGAAGACUAAUGAGACUAUGCAAGAUGAUUGUAGAUGAAUCCCUAACAUUCUGUAGCUUUUUGCACCAAAGCCUUGUCCACAUAAUGUCUCCAGUGCUCCACUUAAACCAACCUGAAAAAUAAAGGACAUUAACUUCUAUUUUAAACAAUCCACAUGUAUUAAAUCACCAUUAGUGAUUUCUUUCGUACAAAAUCCUCCACAUGUCACUUUAAACGUCUUAAAUAACAAGAAAACUGGGUUAUUAGUUUUUUUUCACAUCACUUACGACGAUUAAUAUGUUUUAUUAAAAUUGCCAUAAACAACUAAACAAGAAAGAAAUAUUUGUAAAUUCGAAUAACUAAUCCUACAUAAAUGGAUGAAGUGGGUUCUAGUCAUUUAUGCAGCUAAUUAAAUAUCAAUACCAAAUGUUAAAUAAGGAGCUUGAGGUGAAGAGCGGAAUGGUACCAUGAACGCAAAACCGGUGACGGUUGUCCAAGAAUUGGCGAGGGUUGCAGCGGCAAGCUCGAGCUGGCCGAGGUGAGAAGCGAACAUCACAGAGGUUAAAGGGAUACAAUAGAAGAAAAGAUUUGUGAAUAUCAUUGGAAGAGAGUAAACGAUUUGAGCCUUUGAUUCUUCCACGUCGAUCAAUUUUUGAACCCAAGAGAAGCUUAUGCUUCCUCUGUCAUUUACAUUAUCAUCCAACAAUGGAGAGCUUGAUAUGAUGGGAUCAGCCAUUGGAACUUCUUGGUGAAAGACUUUGCUUAAUUUAGUUGCUGAGAAAACUUGAAAAUGUGUAGAAGAAAGCUAUAAUUUGUAAAGGGGAAGAUUUGAAUUAAAUAAGGAGGGUAAGUAGCAACACGUUAUUAAAUAUAGUUGGCACAAAGACAGGCAAACAUUAUCUAUUCCAUUUAUUGUCACUCAAUGAUUAAACUGUAAACUACAAGUGUUUUUUUUUUUUUUGCUUCUCUCUCAUUUUCUCCCAAAACCCUAAAAGACCACAGUUAGUAGGUGAAAGCAUUGUAUCGUAAUGUUUAAGGUUUAAAGAUUUUUACAUCCAGGUCUAGAGUUUAAAUCUUAGGCUAUGCAAUUUUUAGAUCUAGAGUUCAAAUUUUAGGCUAUGCAAUUUCUUGCAUAUUGUACAUUACAAGAGAUCCAAGUUGCAAUUUCCGGAGAAAACAAUUUAUUAAACAAUUAUGUAGGCUACUAAAGAAAAGCUUACAAGAAAAUUUCAACACUGUGCAUGUAAUUCUGGGCAGGCGUGGAUUUUCAUAGGAUGACUCAUGUGAUAUGAAAAAAUUGAUUUUUCAGAAAAAAAAAUAAAGCAAAAAAAUCGUGGGACAUAGAGUAUAGGUUUAGGUUUUUGUUUUUUUUUUUAUUUGAGGAUUUUUAAUGUUUUCUUUUAUUUUAAUUACUUUAAUUAUUUAUCAUGUUUUAAUAUUUAACCAUUGUUUUUUAAUUGUAAUUUCGAAAUUAUAAUUGAAAUUAAGGCUAUUAUUUUCUUUUUAAAAUAAUUAGUCUAACGGAAUAUAUAGUAUAUGAGAUUAGUCGAAUGAGACAUUGUUACCAUUUUUUUUGCUUAAAAAAACAAUUUUUCCUUUUUUGUCAUCAUAAACACUCAUAUACUAUUUUUUAUUAGAUAGAAAUCUGACAUAAGCAUCUAAAACUAUUAUUUAUUUAUAAAUGUCAACUAGAUUUUGACCCGCGCUUUUCAAAAUUUAAAAAAAAUCUUAUUAAAAAAUCUAUAUAUAGUGUAUAAGUUUGGCCACAUAUAUCCAAAACCGAGAAUUAAACCGUACCAAACUAAAAAAAAAUCGAAUAGAACUGAAUUUCAUAGAUAACCGAGUAAAUAGUAUAUUUCUAGAACCAAAAAAAUUGAAACUAAAAAACCUAAACCAAAUGAGUACCUAAAUUUUUAAAAUAGAAAUUAUAUACUUACAAAUAUUUAUUAUAUCUAAUUUCUAAAUAACUAAAUAUCCUUAAAUAUUAUUUAUAAACCGAAUUAACCAAAAAAAAAACUCAAUUACUGAAUAUUUUAUUCAAACUAUUAAAAAUUAUCUGAAUUAUCUGUAAUUUGAUAUUUAAACUGAAAACUCCAAAUUAUCUGAUAUUUUUAUCUAUAAAUAUGUAAUUGUCUGGAAAAUAAGAAUUGAGCCAGAACAUAAUUGGAUCCAAAUGUUUUUGUAUGUUAGCCAGUUCCAACUUUACUACUGAACUGAACUAAAAACCGAAAUAACCAAGUUGAAAAAAUAAUUUUAUAAAUACAUGAAUGGUUCCUACGUUUAUAAAACCAAAAACACCAAAACAAAAAAACCUGAACCGAAACCAAAUAUUGGGGAGUAAUAGUCGAUCUACAUUUAAUUGGUACAAAGAAAAAAUUAUAUUUUUACAAAUUAUUUAACUCUUAUAUAUGGGAUACAUAUGCAAUUUAUAGAUAAAUUAAGAUAUAAGCAGUGUUUUUAUAUUCGAUUGGGACAUGCGGUCGAACCGGUAAACCCGGUGACCGUAUAUAAUUUGGAUUGGCUUAUGUUCUUCAUAGAACCCAAUUUAUAUGUUUCUACAAAAUUCAAAUUUAAUGAAAACCUAUUAAUUAAAAAAUUGAUAUAAGUAAAAACAUGUCAUUAACCCGUGAACCAACAUCGUUUAACCGAUAAAAAUCCAGAAAAAUCUUAUUUUAAAAAAAAUUGAUAAAUAGAGUAAUGAAAGUUAUAUUGCUAAAAAUUAUAUCCUUUAAAAUUAUAAUGGCCUAUUUGUAAUAUUUUACGUAGAAUCUAAAGCUAGGUUUAAACCGUAAUUGAGAAGAUUAUAAAUUGUUAAUUAAAAUAUAUGUUGUUUUGAUUCUACAUAGUUAAAAUUUAGGUUGCUUGAUUAUUGGGUUUGAGUAUAUUUAAAAGGAAUAUCUUAUGUGCUGAUGUGCAUAUAUGUUUUGAAGUAUUAGUCUGUUAGUUUGUUGAUGAGAUAUUUUAAUGUAGAAUAUUUGGUUAUGUCGAUCAGUCAAGAGAGAUUCAUAAUACAAAGAUAUUUUGAAUUUCAAUGGUUGGUUUCACGGAAAUAGAAGCAUCAUUUAAAAGAAAGGGAAAACGACAUAUUUCCACACCAGAAGUAUCAUAUAGUAACAGUUACACACGAUUUUUCAACCUCGUCUUAAUUGCAUACAUGAAAACUUAUCAAACUGAUUUCCCCCCGAUUUGAAAGAUCGAAACCCGAAUCCACAUAAAACUUUCGUCGGAACCAAAACCUACACCUAGCCGAUUUAAAUCGAUUUACUAUUUAUCUAUUUGUAAUCUAAUUAAUAGAUAACCUAACUAAACCAAAAAUGACGCAAUUAAAAGUGCUAAACCAAAAUAUAUAUAACCUGAUUUACUAACCGAGGUUUACCCAGAAAACUGAAGUCACAUAAUGUUGAGGAAGAAGAAGAAGAAUUCGAACAACAGCACAAGAAAGAGAAAACCCAGAAAAAAGUUCUGAGCUUUUUGUUUCCCCCAAAUCAUUCUUCUGUUUUAUUGGAAAGACAAAAAUUAUGUAUGUGGCUGUGAAUCUCGUCUUCCUCCUUUUGAACAAUAUGAAAUCUGCAAAGCUCUACACAUUGUCUGAUGCCAUUGUUGAAUCUGACGAAUACCCUUCUCUUUCUUUCCUUAGACAUUGCUUGUUCUAACAGAGCUAGAGGUCCUCGUAGCCUCUUUUGUGUGUGUGUGUAAAUAUUGAGAGGUUCUCAUGGACAAGGAGACGCCAAGGGAGAAGACGCCAUCGUCGUUCGGAAGCCUCUCGGAUCAUCAAUUUUAAAAUGGCUUACUCUAUUCUCUCAAUUUUAAAAUGGCUUACUCUGUUCUCUAAACAAGGUUACUAUCCACACUCACUUGAUUCUAGUUGAGGAUUUGUCUUACGAUCAAACGCCUUCUAUGAAAGAUGGAUGUGAGAGGGUGAAAGCGCGUGGAGCUAGAGUGAUGAGUGUUCUUUGUUGUUGCAAACGAUGGGAUUAUCGAGUUUCUUCCAAGCCAAGCUGUUGUUGGUAUAGUAAUUUAUGAAGAAAACAUAAAAAUUUGGAAAAUCUUUCAUGUGUUUUCAACUAUUGUAUGUGUUCUGUUUGUUUGCAGGUAGGGAGAUACACAGAUCCGCGAGAUGGCUUCAAAACCGGGUGAACAAAGUCGGAUCCCUCUGGUCGAAUUGUAUUUUGUCUUUUGGUUCGAUUUACCUGUUACAAACCAAUAAAUCAAUGAAUAACCGAAGCUAUGUGGAUUCGGGUUUGGAUCAUUUGAAUCGGGGGGAAAUAGGUUUGAUAAGUUUUCAUAUGUGCAAUUGAGACGAGGUUAAAAGAUCGUGGGUAACAGUUACUAUAUGAUACUUCUGGUGUGGAAAUAGGUCGUUUGCCCUAAAAGAAAUGAUUUAAUAGAAUGGUGAAAUAUAUCUUGAUAGUUCUGUAAUUAGUAUAGUAGUAUACGUGUUCAUAUGCAGUGACAUUUAAAAAAAUAGGAGGAAUACAUAUGCAAUAGAGAUGUUGGAGCGAGCUUUCAAGAAAAAGGCAAUUCUUAUCAUAAAGAUGUUGGUUAAAAUACAUGGUUACCGUCAAUAUAAUUGAUCUAUUAAAAUGCUUUAAUAUAUAAUAGAUGAAAGUAUACUUAAAAUUGUUUAAAGAAAGUAGAUUACGUCAGAUAUUAUGUUAGUUAGUAGAUAUAAGGUAGACCAUAAUACUUAAUACUAUUAGUCUAAUAAAAGAGUCCAAACAAUUUUUAUAGGUAGAUUUUUUAUGACUGCUUCCCUUUUAAUAGUAUUGAUGGUAAUUGUAUAAUGUAUACCAAUAAUGACUUUUAUUGGGAGUAUAAUUAUUUAGAUGUAUUUUUUUUUUAAUUUUGUUAGAAAAAUAUUAUAUUUGUGUAAAUUUAGGUUAGGUUGUUAUGUUACUAAUUAAUGGUCGUACUAUAUAUGACUUAUUUAUAUUAGAUAAAAAUAAGAUAAUAAAUUAAUAGAUUAGAUAGAUGCAGCUGACUUGAAACAUCUUCGUAUAGUUUUAAAAUCUACAAAAUUACUUGACAUUGCUCUUGAUUGGCUUUAGAACAAAAUAAUUUGUCAUCCGAAAAAAAAGAUGGGAGAUAGCUAGAUUACCCCUUGAUAUUUUUAGACCUGUUAAAUGUUUCUCUCAUUCCUCACGAUGAGAGCUUUUGUACAAAGUAUUACAAGAAAAUUAGAUAAAAUAUCUAUUUCUUUUGGCACAACUUGUCCCCUCGGUUGACCAAUGAGGAGGACCUUCUAUUUAAAAGAUGUUAUCCAAGUAUAAUCUAAUAUAAGUGAAAAUCCCAUAUAUAUUAAAAGAUGAUUCUUAAUAAACGAGCACUCCAACUUAUCAUAGGUCUAUUUAUAUCUGUUUUGAUUGCAAGAAGUUUUUUUUUUGCAUAAAUUUGUUUGCAAUUCAUAAAAGUUUUAUUGACGAAUUAGUGUAGGACCGCGAAAAUACUAAUUAAAAAUCACGAAACAAAAAUUGAGUAAAACGAUAAUAACUAGUAGAAAACAUUUAUAAAACCGUUAAAAAAAUAGACGAAUUCGAGGAAUCAAGAUUUGAUCUAUUUUCUUAACUCAAUGAAUCGCCUAUAAUGUGAGACGGUUUGGAUGCGAUUAUGAAUCCCAUAAUACAACCACGAUGAGACUGUUUCGCUGCACCCGAAAAUAGAAUAUAUGUUAUACUAUGCUAUACUUUCGAGACUUAUUUAAAAGACGACUAGGAUUUUGCUGGAACUAGAAGCUAAUUGCGUUUUUGCGUGUGAAAUAAUGAAGAGGGUAGAUACUUAUUUAUAUGAGAAAUAUACUUGGCCGACAAGCCAAAGAUAACGAUAAAGUAAAGAAAAUUUUUGGAAUUAUUCAUGUUUAUCGUGCAAGAGAGGAUCGGGAAUUAUUCCAAUAAUUAUCUGGAAGUUUUCCCGUAAUUAUCUUGACAUAAUCUAAAAUGUUUAUAUUUAUCUCGAUAAUUUAGACUCAGUCCGUUAGGAUUUAUCUAAGAAAUUAUCCAAAAAUCUUGAUAUGUAUUUGCUCCCAAAAAAACAUCUUAUUGUGGGCGAGAGUCCACAUUCACCAAGACCUAAGACUCAAAUCCAGCCUGGAGGCGGCGCGUGCGUGUGUGGUUUGCAUAAUGGGCCAUCUCACUCCUUCUCCAUAUUGUCCCCACAAACUAUUGAACCUUGAUAAGUGAGUACCAUAUUUAUACUACAAGAAUUUUCUUGUUAUAUGCAAUGUGAGACUCUUUACUCUUCCAUUUUAUUUAAGUGAAAGACUUUUCAUUUAAAGCAUCUCCAAAAAUAAACUCUAUUUUGAAGUUUCCACACUCUAUAUUUGAAGUUUAAAUGUGUUCUUCUCCAAAAUCAAAACUUCAAACUCAACUUCAAAACUAUUUAUAUUUUAUAAUAUGGUCCUUAUAGUUUUCAUAACUAAUUUAAAUCUAUAAAACUUUUGUAAAUAACUAGCACAUAUAUAAACAUAUUACAACAAUAUUAAUUAAUAAAAUAUUCUAUUAAAUAUAAAAAUUUAAUUAAAAAUAACUUAAUUAAUAUUAAACUUCAAACAAAAUACCAUAUUAUUUCAUAAAAUGAUUUUCAUAUAUGCAUAUAUGAUCUAUUAGUGCAUUUCGAAAUAAAAAUAUCUCUCCUCAUUUUUACUUUGUAGAUUACGAGCUAAAAGUUAUUGAAAUCAGGUAAUAUUGAUACUUGUAAAUACAUUAGAUCGGAACAAGAAAGUAAAACAUAAACGUACAAUAUUGCUUAAAGACUAAUUUCUUUUCGAUGAUAUUAAUACUCGUGAAUAUAUUUGAUAUGAACAAGAAAUAAUUGUACGAAAAAGACAUCAAAACAACAACAACAACCAUCUUCAAUUACACACAAAAUAUUGGAUAAUAUUUGAAAAUUUGAAGGUUUAGGAUCAAACUUACGUGACUAUUAGUGUUGUUGUAAUAUUUAAAUUUGUGUAAUAGUUAUGUCUUCAUGUAAUUUCUUAAAAUCUUUUUGUUAAGCUUUUUUGUAUAUUAUUGUUGUCUAAAUCUAACUUAAAAUAUUUUAAAUUUUAUUUUAAAGUUUUAUUUAAUUUUAUGUGUAAAAUUUAAAAUCUGUAAACAAAAUUUAAAAUAUUUAUGAGAUAUAAUACUUUUAAGGAUUAAAACAAUAAAUGAUAUAAUAUUUAUGAAUCAUAAAGGGGGUGUGUGAAUAUAGAGACCAAAAUGCAAACAAAAAUAUUAAACUUCAAAUUUGAAGUUUUGAAUAGUGAAACUUCAAAUAUAUAGUUUCACUACUCAAAACUUCAAAUUUGAAGUUUUGAAGUUCCUUUUUGGAGAGCAAAAAACUUCAUAUUUGAAGUUUCACUCUGAAAACUUCAAAUUUGAAGGUUUCAUAUUUUUAUUUGCAUUUUGGUCCCUACAAUUACACAUCACAUUUAUAAUUCUUAAAUAUUUUAUUAUUUAUCGUAUUAAUGCUUAAAAAAAUUAUAUCUAAUAAAAAUUUCAUUUUUUAAUAAAUUUAAGUUUUACACAAAAAAAUUAAAUUAAAUUUAAAAUAUUUUAAAACUAGAUUUAGACAACAACAAUACAAAAGAAACCUAACAACAAAAAGCUUUUAAGAAAGUUACAUGAAGACAUAACUAUUACACAAAAAUAAAUAUUACAACAAUACUAAUAGUCAGUUAAUUUGAUCCGGAACCUCCAAAAUCUUCAAAAUAUUGUCCAAACAAAUUUUGUGUAACCGAAUAUAGUUGCUGCUGUUGUUGUUUUAGUGUCUUUUUCGUACAAUUCUUUCUUAUUAAGAUCGAAUGAAUUCAUUGAAUAUUAAUAUCAUAUAUGCGUUACGAAAAUAACUUUAUGGAAUAAUACAAUAUUUUUUUUGAAGUUUAGUAUUAAUUAUGUUAUUUGAUUUAAAAUUUAUAUUUUAAUAUAAAAUUUUAUUAAUUAAUAAUGUUGUAAUAUUUUUAUGUAUGUGCUUAGUUAUUUACAAAAGUUUUAUGAAUUUAAAUUAAUGAUGACAAGUAUAAGGACCAUAAUAUAAAGUACAAAUAGUUUUGAAGUUAAGUUUGGAGUUUUUCUUUUGGAGAAGAACAUCUUGAAACUUCAAAUAUAGAGUUUUUGAAACUUCAUAAUAGAAUGUCUUUUUGGAGACGUGUGCAAAAGAUAUUUUCACAUAUUUUCAUAUUAUAGCAAAACAUUAUAUAGUCCAAAGACUUAUAAUUUUGGGUUCCAACAAUUAGCCGCCCUGCGACAAUAGUAAAAUGUGUCCAGUAAUAGAUUUGGUAGGAAUUUUUUUUAAACUUUCACACAAUACCUUCGAAAUUAUCUUGUAGAGAACACCACACGCAAUUAAAUGGUCUUGAUUUCGUCAUACGAGUCAGACUAGCCAUUUUUGGUAUUAAACAUAUAUUACACCCCAUGUUCAAAAUUACGCUAGGCGUGAGUCGGGCGGCUGGUCUAAGCUUAGCGAGUUAUCGAAAAAUCGGAGAUUAAACGGGGAGUACGCGGAGCCUAAUUUUCAAGCCUAUUACAUGUACAUUUCAAUAUAUAUAUAUAAGGGUAUAUGUAAUAUGUUACUAUAUAAGCAAUGUGGCGUAUUAUAUAUUAAAUUUUUGUAAGAUAACCGAGUUGUAAACGUGGUGUAGUGGACACUAAUGUGGUUUGAUUCAAUUUAUCUAGAGUUUGAAAAGUGUUACGUUAAUUUUUUUAUUUUAUUUAAUAUUUCUUUUGUUUUUAGUGGAUGGUAGACUUGUAAAUAAGUCUUCUUCUUCAUCAGUUUCGUGAAACAGAAGAAGAUAGACGAUGCAGGAACAAGAUUCAACUUUAUUUUGUUUGGAACUCUCAAUCCCCUUUGGAUUUUGUCUCCACCUCUCACUUCUUCUCUUGAUUUCGUGACAAAUGCUUUGAUUAGGAUUCAGACCAAAGGAUCUUGGGCUUAAUUGCGUAAAACGUUUUGGAUCUAGGCGCCCGCGUUUCACAAAUACCCUGGAUAGGCGGAAACAAUUCGUCUUACCGCACAGAGCACCCGAUCAGACCUUUUUCGCCACGGCCAUGCUCCGCUUACCGUAUACGCGUCCGAGUAAUCGUCAACUCGCCCGCGUUUUCGAACACGGAUUACACCAUUCAAGAAGGACACUAAAAUAUUCAGAAUAAUUAUCUAUCAUCUUCGGAUACACUAGCAAGCAUCAGAUCAUGCAAAUCAAGUUAAAAAAUCAAUUAUAUAUGAUUUGGUAAAACAUUAGCAUAAACAUUAUACUAUUUAUUAUCCAAUCAACAAUUUUUAGAUUAGCAUUUAAAAAACAUUUACAAAAUGCUAAUGCUCUCUCCUCAAUGCUCUCAAAUGAAGCUUUUAGCAGAGCAUUUACAAAUAAAAUAGAUAGAAAAAUAAAAAAAGUAAUUACAUAUAAUUAAUUUAUUUUAUCAAAUAAUAUCCAAAAAUUAUGUUUAUAUCGAAAAAAAUAAAUUUAUAAUUUUAAAAAUAAAAUUUUCUAUUAAAAUGUAUUUAAUUUUUUUGAAAUAAUAAUAUUUUACAUUUAAAAUAUAAUAUCAUUUAUAUAAUUAUAUAUGAUUCACAAUCUAUAGUAACAAAACAUAGAACAACAUAUAUUUAUAUAUUAUCAAUAUCUAUAAUAUUAAUUUAGAAAUAAAAAAAUUAUAUACCAUAUAUUAAUUUUUAUGAUAAUUUUAUAUAUGAAUCAUUUACUGCUCUACCAAUCAUUUUAUUAAAUAUAUAAAUGAAAGCAUACUGCUUAUAUAUCAUACUACUAAUGAUUUAUCAUCACUUGCACCAAUCAAGGCCUAUGUGAAUAUUUUUGAUAUAUUUCUCCAACGGCCAUCUUUCCAUGAACCAGCAACAAAGCUUGGAAUCUCUUGAUCAUCUUGUGAUCUUAGAUCUGGUGGAUUUUAAUCUUAUAUCGCAAUGAAAUUACCCCUAAACAUAGUUUUUCGAUAAAUUGUUUUUAGAUGAUUCUUUGCAAUGCUCGCUUUAUUAAAUAUUUCAGAAAUUUCAAUUCAAGAACACAAUAGUGUAAUGCUCUCUAUAUUGUAUAUUUCUGAAAUUUUGAUCCAAGAACACAAUAAUGCAAUGAUUUCUUUGGGUAAUUCUUUGUAAUGUUCUCUUUGAAUGAUUCUUUGAUUUAAGAACUUAUGUCGAUUAUAAAGGAAAAAAACUGGUUUUUUAUUCUUUAAAUAUUUUCAAUCAGCAUAUUUAAUAUUCAAAUUAUUCAGCUUAUUUAUUUUUGGACUAAACGUUGACUAUACAAAAUUAAGAUAAAAUAGUCCACAAUUAAAAAGAAGGAAACUAUUAAAUUAUUUUCGUUUAUUAAUGGUUGACUGUUUUGUUUCUAUAUAUGUGCGGUCAACAGUUAAUUGAAAAAAAAUUACAGAAGUAAUACUUGAAUAUUAAAGAUUUUUUUUUUUGAUAAACAAAUACUUGAAUAUUAAAGAUGCAUAUUCCAAAUACUAGGAAUUAAAAGCUCAUUUUGUCCAUAAACUGCAUGUAUACGUACGUCUUUGUAUCAUAUAUUGCAUCGAAUGUAGAAUUUAACCAAGUCUUAUUAGAUGGAAGUCAUUAAGUAGCCAUCGAAACCUAAUACUAAUAACGCUUUGGUAUAAUAAAUAGUUUAAGAAGUACAAUUUUGAAUUAACCCUAUUUGUUUUUUAAUAUUUACCUCUGUUCGAAAAACGCGCCCGUGGAACCCGAUUACGCAGCGCCGAUACGCUCGUCGGAGGUCCACCGUGGCGAUUUCAUCAUCCUCGGCCAAGAAAUCGGAUUGAUCAAAAAAUUCAUUCUUUUUAAAGUUUUAGGUGUUUAAAUCGCAUGCUGGAAAGUAGAUCUAUGAGUUUGAUGCAUAAACAACAAGAAAAGCUUAUAAAAUUUGUGGUUUUUGACAAAUCUUUGUUGAAGGCGACGAAAAUAGUUUUGCAGAAAACCUAAAUAAAACGCAAGGAAAAUAUGACUUUAUUACAAUUAUGCCAUUCACAUAAAAAACGCACAAAAAUAUCCAAAAAGUACCUUAUGGGCUUCAAUCACCGGUACAAAUAAACUAACACCUGUCCAUUUACCAUGGGGUUACAUUACUUUUACUUGUUUCUUUCCCUAACUUCACAUAUAUAUAGCUAUAUGUAUUUAAAUUUUAAAAUAAUAAUUAAAAUUACUCCCCGCGUAUACCUCGCUUAAUCUCUGAUUUUUCGAUAACUUGCUAGAUCCGGAAUUACCGUCCGACUAACGCCUAGCGUAGUUUUAAACAGGAAAUUUACAGCCGAAUGUCAUUGACAAUAACAAUGCUCCUUCAAUCAAUCAUUAAAAUCCAUUUCGUAUUUAAGUUUGUGGCCAGAAUUUUCUUCAUCUACAUAAAAAGGUAAUGAUUAUUAAUUUCACCAGUUCUGCAUAUGUAAUCACACGAAAUAUAAAAACAUAAAAUUGAAACCAAACUGAAUUCAUUUGCGAUUACAUUCUAAUGUACUAUAUAACGAACCAUGUCAAAUAAUUAAUUUGUUUUCAGUUUUAUGUAUAGUAAUAAUAUUUACAUAUAAUUAUUAACCAAACCAAGUCAAGUGUUAUAUAUUAAUUGUUUGGGAAAAUAAAAAAUCUCCACAUGAUCUUAAUUAGCUCAACUAAAAAUCAUUUUGUCUAACAAAAUACUAAAUUAACUAUAUUUUUCUUAAAAUAAAUCGUUAGAUUGAUACAUGCGGACUGUUAGUAAUAUGUAUAGUAAUAGUAUUUACAUAUAACUAUUAACAAAACCAAGUCAAGUGUUACAUAUUAACCAAACCAAACAAUUGUUUGGAUAAAUAAAAAAAUCUACACACAAUCUUAAUUAGCUCAACCAAAAAUCAUUUUUUCUAACAAAAUACUAAAUUAACUAUAUUUUUUCAAAAAUAAAUCGUUAGGUAGAUACAUGCGGAAUGUUAGUAAUAUAUUGGAUUGAAGAUAUAUGAAUGCUUAAUCAGCUCCAAAGAAUAUUGCAAUGUCAAACACUUUACCUCUAACUUAGCUUAACACCACCCUAAUUUUUGGCUGUCACAUAAAACAAAAAGACUUCGAUCUAUAACAUAUAUAAUCUAGAUUAACAACCAUAAUAUUUAUUUCAUAUAUACUAUCACAUAAAUGGAAAAGAAAUUAGCUUUCUUUUAAAGAAAUUAUAUUAGCUUUAAAAACUUUAUACAACAUUCCUAUUUAUAAGGAAGAUAAUCGUUUAAUAGGAUACAAAAUAAAUAUUCUAUCGAUUAAACCAAUCAUAAUCAAUUUUGUAAAGUAUUUAUUCAAAUCUAAAAAUUCUAAGCUUAACUAACCAAAUAUGAGAUAUUUUAAAAAUUGUCAGAAUCGGUAAUUUAUUGUAUAUAUUCUAUUAAAAUUGAAGUACAAAAUAAUAUUUAUAUAUUUGUAAUUGAUUUUUUCAAUCUUCUUCCUUCAUUUUAACUAAUUUAAACCAAUUUAUUUAUUGUAUUUUCCAAAUAAUUCUACUUCAUUUAUAUUUAUUAUAGAGUACAAAAUAGAACUUACAUACUCUUAAGUGUUUUUAUUACAUCUUUUGCAACUCUUCUUUGUCACUCUUCCUAAUUACUUCAUCAACUAUAUUAAGCAUAAUAAUUUGACAACACUUAUUUUAAUUUUUACCAAAAUAAUUUCACAAGUUUGAAUGAAAUUGAUUAAUUCAUGACAAGAAUUCAAUCGAUUAAUAAUUUUUUUAUUUGUAUAAAGAAUCAGUUAGACAUGAGCAUUCAGGUAACUGUUCGGGUACAGAUCGGUUUUUGAGUAUCAGAUUUUAGGGUUUAAAAUUAAAUUUUGUUUGGAUAUUAUAAAUUUUUGGACGAAGUUCGGAAUCGGAUCAUUUUGGAUUAUGAUAGACUUGUAAGGACCUAAAAAUAUCUAAAUAACCUAUGUAUUUAUAAUGUCAUUAUAUAAUUUAUAAAAAAGUAAAAACUUAACAUCAACACAGACGUGCAGGUCAAGCUCUAGUUUUGUUUUAAUUAAAAAAAGACAAUACCUAGGUUAAGGUGUAGUUUUGUUUUAAUUAAAAAAAGACAAUACCUAGGUUAAGGUGUUUGGGUAUUUGUGUAAAUCUUUGUGAAAUGAUUAUUAAACAUGUACCUGAUUUAAUACCCAAAAUAUAUCAAAGUAUUAAUAAUUUUCAAAUAGAAGUUAAAAAUAUCUAAAAUUCUUAGAAAAAUCUUAAAAUUUUAAUUUAAUUUUAAUUUAAUUUUAAAUUUUAGAAAAAGUAAGUAAAGUGUGAUAAUCUUAAAUUGUGUAAUAAAAGUUUAUUGUAAAAUUUUAGUUUGAAAAUGUAUAGAUUGAUAGAUAUGAACUUAAUAUAUUUUUCAAUACAUAAAUUUAUAUGAAAACAAUGAUCGUAUUUAUUUUAUAAAACAAUAAUAAUUAUUAAACAUAAAAGUUGGGUUAGAGAAUUUAUAUCAAAAUGGACUAAUAACUGAAUUUUUUUGGUUAACUACUAAUUGAAUUCUAAAAAGAUCAAAAAGUCAUUCUUAAUAUUUUGGGCCAAGAAAAUUAAAAAGACUGCCAUUUGUUAUUAUUCUGUUAGGUUUUUAAACUCUCUAGGAAGAUAAAGAUUAAUCGUUUAUGUUUUUUGUUAGCAUAAGUUUAGGAAAUAUUUUGGUUGUUUUAGUUAAUAUUAUUAGCAUGCCAAUCGUUUGUCACAUUCCCUUUAUUCAUGAAUAUAUUCUAAAUUUUAAUAAUACGGAAUUUGUUAAUUCUAAAUUUUAAUACAUCUACUCUACUAAUUAAUACAUCUGCAAUAUUUCGUAUAUAUAUACUUCAAUGUUUUAUAACAUGUGUCAAUGAUAAAUAUGGAUGGAUUCUAUCAUCCACAUAUAUAUUGUCCAUUACUGAAAAAUGCAUGAUGAUGAUGUAUGCAGGGCCGUCUCAAACUUUACGGAGACCCUGUUCAAAAAAAAAUAAGACCCUUUAUAAUAAUCUAAAAUAAUUUAUGUUUUUUCUGACAGAAUAUUGUAAUAUAUAAUAAAUACACCAAUCUAAUUUAAUUGGAAGAAGCAUUUUUUUCUUUUAUAAUUGAAAACUUAUGAAAAGCAUCUUUUCGGGACUAUGAAUUUUUCAGUUUUUUUUUCUUUUGAUUCUUUUUGUAUCUACAGUUAAGAGUUAUAAUCUAUAAAAAAACACAAACAAAACAAUAGAAUCUUGAUAGUGGUUAGAAAAAAAACCGUGGACUCUUGAUUUGAUUAAACAAGAAAUUGGAGACUCCUCAGUUUUAUUCUUUGAUAGAUGCUUAGACUAAUGUUUCUUUUUUGUGUUUACUAUUUUUUGUAAAAGUUGCUGAAAAAUUAUAUAUUUCCCUCUUUAUUUACAAUCACUAAUUAAUAUAGUUUCCUAAAUAUAAUCAAAUUAGAAUAUUAACUUUCUAAAUUUACAUUGAAUAAUAAAUCAAACACCAACAGCUAUUUUUUACUUUCCAAAAUAUAUAAUUGAUAUAAUGUUAAUUUCUUCCUGACUUAUUGCAUUUUUGUUGGUUAUGUAAACAAAAUCAAAUUUGUAAUUUACAUAUAUUGUUUAAUAAAUAUGAAAAUUAAAUUAAAUAUAGUUAUCUGAUUUUUAAUAAAUACAUGAUUUUAAAUUUAUAGCUAUUACUAAAAAAAAAUUAUGAGUCCUCUAAAAUUUUGGACCAUGUUCGACCGCUCCACUUGCACGUGCUAAAAGACGGCCCUGGAUGUAUGUGUAGAUUUGUUUUAUUAGUGUAUUGUAAAGAAUAAUAAAUAAGAGUCCAAGAUUCAAAUGCAAAAGUAAUUGACAUAAUUUUAUUUGGACAGUCGAAGAUUCAAAUACAAAGUUAGAGUUAUGAAUAAUCCAAACUCGUAUUAAUGUUUUCACGUAGGAGAAGUAUUGUUAUCAUUGUAUAACCGUGAAUAGACUUUAUUUGUAGAAGGAGAGUUAUAAUGUACUAGAUACGGACCUUUUUUGAUGUUUUAACUUUACGAAAAACAUAAAAAGAAUGAAAAUAUUUUUCACAUUAGUUUUUAAAUUUUUUUAGUAUAUAUUGGUGUAAGACUUAUUUUAGUAUAAUAAUCAAUUUUCUUACAUAAAUUGUGAUUAGUAUUACUACUUCAGUAAUGGUGUUUUAAAAUAGUCUAUUAAUUUUUUUAUUUUUCUAUAAAUAGUUCACUUUAAAUUAUUUUUAAUAUUAUAGUUAAUUAAAACAUAUAGAAUUGAUGUAAACUAUCUAUAUUAUUUAUAUUGUGUAAGAAAAUUCAAAAAAAAUCAAAAUUAAUGUUAGACGAUACUAAUACUCUCAAAAUUUUGCACAUGAUAUGCUAUCAAUAAAAAGGCCUCACUCAAGCAAAAUAAUGUUGGCUUCAAAUAAUGGUGAGGGUUAAAGGGUAUGAGAGUGCUAUUUGGGUAAACAAAGAUAUAGGUCGCUGCAAAGACCCCCUCUGGUGCUCUUUCUCGCCCAAAUGAUCACUUUCCUACUCCUUUUUUUUUUAUCCCAAAUGCCUCCAAAUACUUCGAAGAACUCCAAUGGAUACUCCCACACCUAAUAAAAACUUAUGCAAUGCAAAAGGGACCUAAAAAAUGCCUCAAUUCUAUUCUAAAUGAUCAAAAUGUAUAGGAAUGAAUGAUCAAAACAAUGUAAAUAUGCAAGAUAUUAGACACCAAUCAAUAUGCAUUAUUGAUAUUCAGCUAAAUAUCAAAUAUAUUGCUUGAUAACCAUCAAAUUUGUUUCCCGCUAUACCCUACCUUAGCAUCAAUAGUGUGACUAUAACCUCUUUCUAUAUAUCAUAUAUUUCUGAAUUUUUUUUGAUAUACAAUAUUUUGUAGAACACUAUUGUCGAUAUGUUUUGUGUCUACUUUAAAAAUUCUGAAUUCAUGCAGUUGUUGUGACUCUUUGAUAGUGAAGUGUACAAUUGUCCAUGAGAGAUCAUCUUGCAUCUGUUGAUGUGAGACUUGUUUUAGGAAUAAGAAUCUGUUGAUUAUUGAUCUCGGUUAGGAUUUUUCUGCUUCAGUAAUCAUGUUGUCUAGGCUAGUUAUUAGUUAAAUUUUUACAUUGCAAAUUUCUUUUCGAUGAUUUAAAUUCCUUAAUAACAUGACUGAAACAUCUAUUUUGAGAUCAAGUUCGUGAUUUGGAAUCCCUGAAAAAAUUAACAUAUUUAAAAAUCUGUGGGAUAUAGAAUAUGCUGAUUUAUAACUUCUUCUUUGUUGUUACCAAUACUAUCAGAACUCAAAUGUUCCUUUUGCUCACCGUCUAAGCACUUUAACAUAUAGUUAUCUAUUUUACCAACCCUUUCAUUCCUUAUUCUUUGGUGUAAGCAUUGCUUUUUUGAUGAGAUAAUUCUUGUCUUCAAAAGUAAAUUUGGAAAUCUUGAUAUAUAGACAUUGUAAUGCAUUCAAAAGGAGCUGCAUUCUUUUGCAAGAGCAAUUUGUUGUCUAUCAAAGAAGGUAAAUCAUGUGAACAUCAGUUUAGAUGUGAAAGGACAUGCAGAAAAUCUCACCUAAAUAGAAAAGUCGAUUAUUCAUAAUAAAUUAACAUUAACUUAACUACAACAAUAUAACGAAUUUAUAUUGUCGAUAAGAACAAACACAUAUAAGCAUAAUAGUCACAUUAACUUUUGUACAGCAGAAUAACUGCAUAACAUCUAUUUGACUAUAUGUACAAACGCCAAAGUGUAAUUGUGGCAAUAACUAACGUACAUCAUCAUUACAAUUAUGACAAAAAAAUCAACAUCAGUUUAAGAAGAAAAAAAAACAUGUGAAGAUCAGGAAACCUAGUUAUUUCAAUCAUAUGUUACAAUGCUAAAAAAAAAAUCAUCCUUUGUCGUUCACAUGGAUGCAGAGUUACCGAUCUGGUUUACAGAGUCAACAUGAGUUUGUAAAUUCUUUGCUGUCAAAAAAAAAUCAUAGUUUACAAUUAUUUUUUCUUUAGGAUUUUAGAAAAGGGAAAUUAAUAUUAAAUAAAUUAUUUUAUAAAUAUUUUUUUGUUUAGGAUUAACAAAAAGGAAAAUUUCUAGAAACAGCUACUAUUAAAUAAUUUUUGAAAUUAAUACUUACUAUUAAAUCAUUUUUAAAAUUCGUUUUUAUUAUCUUAGCAUAUAUAUAUUUAAUCAUGAGAGAUUUUAACACAUGUCGAUAUAUUAAAAGGAAACCCACUAUCACAUAAUUAUCUGCUUAAGAUUUUUAAAAAGAAAAAAUAUUAUUAAAUAAUAUUUACAUUUACUUUUUUACAAAUUUUUUUUUUUGUUAUUAUCUAAUUAUAUAUAUUUUUAAUUAGGAGAUAGUUUAACACAUAUCAUAAUUUUGAAUAUAUAUUUGCUACAUGUCACAAUCGUGUUAAUUAACAACUUUGAAAACCAAACUUUAUAUAAUAAGAUAACCAAAAUAUAAGGAAUGAUAAUUAUCUCUUAUUUCUCACGUUAGGUCCAAAUUUAAAUAAUAACUAAAUAAAAAGUAUGAUUCUAAAUUAAUAGAUUAGAUUAAGUGGAUGAAGUUGAAUGGGAAAAGAUCUGACUGUUUGCUCCAAGAAGGAAUGUAUGUACAUUCAUUUAACACACAAUAACUGCAAAUAGAGAUCAUAACAUUGAUAUGUUCCAUUUGUUGUUCAUUCAUCGAACAGGCUUUGUGUCGAAGCUGCUUAAACAAAUGGCAAAAGCUUGGAAUGCGGAGAUCGGGUAACGAUAAUCCAUGGUGAAUGUAUCUUUCCCUAUCUUCCCAAACUGCAGUAUCACUCUCUCUUGUUCCUCUUCAGGGAUGUUCAUGUCCUUCCCUGCUUCUGCAGCAGCAGCCAUUAGCUGGAAGUUUUUCACGGAGGCAACCGUGACUCGUCCUUUGAAGUUAAGACACCAGCACUGAAGCUGCUCGUGCCAUCUGGGCAACUUGUUUUUCAGGACUAAUGGUUCCUUCACGACGGAUUCUCCUCCCAAGUUCCCUGACCAGAAAUCAAUCAGCCCUCUCUUCUUCUUGCUUCCUAGGUUUGACAACUCGGUCGGAGUAUGAAUCUGUCCCCCUUCUUGAAUAGAAGAAACUGGGAUAGUGUUCAUGAUACAUUGCAUUCUUCUUGGACCUCUGGUUCUAAGGACAUUCAGCUCAUACAAGAUCGAAGCCAUGCUGUAACUGUGAGUAGAUGAAGUUACCCAUGGAGACACACGCAUCGUCUGUGAUAGUUUCUUGUUAAAUGAUCUUCGGGAAUCAACCGGAGAAGGUUGGUUUUCGUAAACCGUGAACUUAGUUCCAAGGAAAUUCGAUCUAUCCACCCAACAACAAGAAGGAAAGUUAUAAAUGUCAUGGCGAUAUUAAACGAUCAAAGAUGACAAAUAAGGUACCUUAGUUUCCCAAUAUAGUUACUGCUACUUCUUGAGAAGUCCUUUCCAGACAAAGAUACAAUAAACUCAACACCAGUCGCCCUCCUUACCCUCUUAGCCGAUAGCAAGAGCUUACUCUUGUCCCCGGUAAGCGCUGAAACCAUACAGACAUUAAGAUGACAACACAUAGUCCCAAGACUCACAAGAAGUAAGAGAAGUUAAAACUACCAGGGCUUAAACCAAGAUAGAGACGGUAUAUCCCAGUGGCUCUCUCCCGUUUGAUAAAGCAUUGAAUCGGAUCAUCUCUAGGGCCAGGCUGAGACAAGAACCCCCAAUGUCUUUUAGCUCAUCACUUCCAACGAUUACAAGAACGUUCUAGAAAGAGUAUAAACCUGUUUUAAUGAAACUGGAAAAGUGAGGAGACCAGAGAUCUCAGGAACCUUAACAACUUCUUUAGUCAUCUCCCUCCAGGCCUUACAAACCGAGGCGCAAGCAACAACGUCUCUCCUCCCCGGCCAUGAGGUCUGACCAGACUCGAUUCGAUGGAUGAUGUCAAGAAGCAGCUCCGGAGGCAAAUCAACCCAAACGCUCUGAUAUAAACAAUCAUCAGCAGCUGAUGGAGAAGGAGAAGAUCCUUCUGGAGCAAUGUGAGACCUUCCUCGUCUACCAUUGGCUUUGUUGUUACGACCCCUAAGCUCGCGUACUAUGUUCUUCAACGGCAUUUCUACAAUUCAACUUCUCCUACGGACCCCCAAAUCGAUCAAACGAAGCAAAAAAAAAAACCCUAAUUUGUACCUUCAACAAACGAACAAAGAUUAAAUCAUGAAAAGGGCAUUAUCGUGUAAUGAAAACGAGAGAGAGAGAGAGGGGAUGUAUGUACCUAGAGAAGCGACAAAUCCAUGGGGAAUCACGACGAUCGGGGUGAAUUCCGAUUAAGAAAGUCUCGAAUUGAGAAAUUUUAAAACGCUCCUUGAAAGUAAAUAGAGCCGCCACCACCACAACUCCUCCGAUGUUGUUAACCGUCGCCGUCGUUAGGUUUGAAUCCCGACGACGACAAUGAUUUCGAGGAGAAGGGAGAGAGAAAGAGGAGACGGGAAAGUUUCCGUUUUCUUUUUUAUUUAUUUAUUUAAUUAAUAAGAGUAGGCGCGGCCCCAUCUCUCCCUCCUUUCAAUUGAAAUUAGUAAAUUACUCAAAAUAGGUUUUUAUCUCUUUUUUUUAUUUUAUUCUCUUCCAUUUUGGUCAAAUUACUUUCUCACAAGUUUUUGUUUAAGUUAUUAACAUAAAAAGAAACUUUCUGUCUUUUUAUUACACCAUUAGACAGAUUUCACUACUGAGAUAGUUUGUGGAAGUAAAAUGACAACACUAACCCUAACAACACUCACCUUUUGUAGAUUGUGAAAAGCACACUAUCUCUUUUAUUCUUCUUUUAUUUACAGUCAUACUUUUUUUUAUAAAUAAAAUUGUUUUCUUCUUCUUUAUCUCUUUCAUCAUCUUCUUUUCUCUUUUCCUAUGUCGAUAAAGUGGUUAUGGAUCAAAUUAAACUGAUUUGAAACAAAGAAACAAAAAUCUAAGCGUGCAUACACCUCUCAAGUUCUGAUGGUGGAUUUUCUGAAUCAAAGUCUUAAUUCGUUGGUCUAUCUUAUUCUUCUCCAUCUCUACCUUCAUCCUCCACAAGAAUAACCACCAGAGAAAUAUCAUUAAAACGAGAUGUAGCCAUAAGUACAAAUGAAGGCAAAGAGAAAGUGGCUAAGAAACCCGAUGUAUCUCCACCUCCUGUUCAAUCUCCGUCUCAGCCGUAGAGGAAGCUAGAUGAUGUAAAUCCAGAGAGAUUGGAACUAAGUUGACCGCAGCUUGGCGAGGUAAGAUUACAUUUAAUAUAUUUGUUUUCUCCUGCUUAAUACUGAAUUUCAAUUAUAAAGUUGAUCUCUGAUUCCAAAAGAUGCAGCUUGCUUCCUUUAGAUUUGUUUUUUAUUUAUUUAUAUCAACUCAGCUUAUUAUGUAUUACCUUUGAAACUUAGCUUUAGAUGAUUCACAAAGUAUAUAUGAUUUUUGAAUCUAGUAUUUUGAAAUGACUUACAAAGCUAAUUCAGAUCUGUAUGGAUCCUAGAGAAACAUAAGGUUCUGAUUUUAUGUUAUAUUGUUAUAUGAUGUAUUUGUUUUGUUGGAAAUGUUGGUUUGAACGAUGUGUCUUGAUUGAAUUAUCUAUUAUUCUAUUUUUUUGUUCUUGGACGGACAACUCCAUAAUGUGGACAAGUAUUGGCAUGGAGUCAAAGACAAGAAGCUAUUCAUGUGUACGCCGCGUGUAAGUUGUCAAUGUGUACGCCUUGUGUAAAUUGUCCAUGUGGACAUCUCAGUUGUCCAUGUGGACAUCUCAGUUGUCCAUGUGAACGACAUUUGGUGGGAAUGUCUUGUACUAAGUAAUAUUAUUAUAAUUUUUUUGAUUGUGAAAGCCAUGUAUAAGAAAUAUCAGAUGUUGCAUUGUCCGUACAUAUAUUCUUGAACACUUGUUUGGUACCACAAAUGCCAGCUGUGGCGCAUCGACCAAAAAACGGGUACCCAUUGUGUAUGAGAGAUAUACAACAUUGAAGCUGGCUUAGUAAGAAGAUUUGGUAUGUUUUAGAGGAGAAGCAUUGUCCAAGUAAAAUAAACACUCGCAUUUUUUGUUUGCAAGUGUUUUACAUGUACAUGUACUCGUAGGUGUCCACAUGUACGCAUGCACGUUGAUGUACACAUGUAUACUGAUGUUUAGUCUUCAAGACUUGAUUCAAUCAUAUUUAUUUAUGGUGUAAUAGUUGCAAAUAACUUAAUAAAAUACAAAUCUUUCCAUCUGAUUCAUCCAAUUUUCUUUUGAUAUGGAAAGUUUGGUAUCCAAUUCGAUCUAUGUUGCUAAGAAGGAAAAAAAUUGGAGCUUUUACAUACGUAGUGAGGACUUUUUUUUUUGGACAAACCGUAGUGAGGACUCUCUUUGCUUCAUAUAAGUGAAAAAUUGUAAUGAAAGUUUAAGAAGGAUUAUUAUCAAAGAAUUUAUAUUUAUCUUACGUCUCUUUUUUAAACUGAUGUACACGUGGACAGUCAAACAUUGUGUACACAUGGAUAGUCAAAUAUAUAUUUACACGUCGAUGGUAUUUGUCAGUAUAUAUGUAAAACAUUCAAAUGCUUUCAUAUGUGUGUAUUAGAUUACUAAAUGUUAAUAUUCAUUGCAACGGCAAAUCAUUGUCCAUCUUUUACUCUUUUGUACACAUAAAUGUACAUGUAGAUACUGAGAAUUAUGCGUACAUGUGGAAUACUAUUUUGUAACAGUAUAUAUGUUGAUCAGUGAAAACACAUCAAGAGACGUAAGAUAAAUAUAAAAUAUUUGAUAAUAAUCCUUCUUAAAUUUCAAUUACAACUUUUGACUAUCUAUGUGUACACAAUGUUUGACUGUCUACGUGUACAUCAGUUUAAAAAAUGUACAUGUACACUGAUUACAAACCAAACAAUGAUCUGUGUAAUUCACAAAGACGAAUAUGUGCAUUCAAAAAUUACAAAUCUUUACACCUUUAACGAUGACAACCGGAGUCGUUGUUCAGUUCAAUCAUAACCGCUUCAUUGAAAUUAUAAGGAAGCAGCCAUAUGCACAAACCGAGUUCAUCGAAGUUAUCUAUCCAUCACCAGAACGAUGGUUAAAUCCACAGUGGAAGAUGAGACGAGGAUUCCAAACGUUGAUGUUGAUGAUUCCAUACAAACUUGAUAUCUCAUAAUCAUACCUCACAUUUACCUUCGUCAUCCUUGUCGUCGCCGUCUUCAUCAUCAACUCUGUCAUCCUCUAUUUCCUCAUCUUAUUCUUCUACUGGUUCUAUAUGAGGCCGACUAAGGGUUGUAAAAUCGAACUCCAUCGUCACGUGUUUUUCAUCUUUAUCAUAAUCUUCAUCUUCUUCUCCACAUGAUUUGUUUUACAGAAAAAAAAUUGUACGAGAAAGACAAGAAAAGAAUUUAAGAGAUAAGGAAAGAGAAAGAGAAAGAGAAAAAGAGAUUGAUUUAUGGCCACAUAAUUCUUUUUUUUGGUAUUUUUGUUAGAUUUAAAAGAAAAAUAAUGAGAAAGGGUAAUAAUGAAUUUUCAUACGCUGAAAAGAGGAGAGAAGGUGUUGAAAUGAGAGAAAAAGUGUGUAGGUAGUUGAAACUGUCCUAGAGUGAAAUAAUAAACUCAAAAACUGCCUUCUAGUGUAAAUCUUUCUUUUUGUUUUUGUAUUUUAUUCUUCCAACAAGAAAAUACUUUAAAGCAAAUCUCCUAAGAAAAACACCGAAAACCUUUUUUGACCAAAAAGACGCAAAAGGAAAAUGAUUUUAAAUAAAUUUAUUAAAGAGGUAAAUGACAAGUAUACCAUUACUUUAUAUACGGUAAAACUCUAUAAAUUAAUAAUGUUAAGACAAGGAUAUUUUAUUAAUUUAUAUAAUUAUUAAUAUAAAAUAAAUUUUAUUGUAUUAUUUGGUGUACAUAAAAUAUGUUUCAUAUAAUUGAAGUGUUUUUCAAGAUGUAAUUUUACUAAAUGUUAUCAGAAUAUAUUAAAAAUGUUAAGAAAACAUAGAUAAAUUCUAUUGCUGAUAUAAAAUAAACAAUAUAUUAAUGUGUUUAUUAAUUUACUGAGUAUUAAUUUAUAUAGUUUCUACUGUAUAUAAAUAUAAAUAAAUAAUAAAAUAUUAUUUCCCAAAAGAAAUUUAUUCAAUAUUCAAAAACCUUUUUCAAACACAAAUUUCAAAUUUUCUUCUUUUUUCCAAAUUUUAUAUCGAAAUGUGAAAAUUCUUUAUUGAAAAUUUAAAAUUAUUAUUUAAAAUUUUAAAUCUUAAACUUUAAAUCCUAAACCCUAUCCCCAAACAUUACCCCUAAAUUUAAACCCUAAGUUUAGAUUAUUUAACCAUAAGGGUAAACUUAUCUAUUACUUCUUUAAUAAAAUAUUUGAUUAUUUUGAUCCUUGUAAGCUAUUUUGUGAUUAAAAAAUUAAUGCUAUCAUAUGGUUUAUCUAUUGGCCAUAUUAAAAGAGUAUUUUUAUUAUAAGAAAUUGAGAAAUACUCUAUGAUAAAUAUACAAAACUUUAUCACAAAAAUAGUUCUAAAAGUCAAAAUGAUCAAAAUAUGUUUUAUUAACGAGAUAAAAGAUAUUUUUACUGUUACAGUUAACUAAGUUUUUUAACACUGGUUAGUUAUGCUAUUACAAACUAUGAAAAACAUUACAUAUACGAUAUUACAGCCGACAAUUAUGUUUGUCUUAUGAGGAUUCAUGUCUGACUACAUCACCUAGAGUCGCCCUAUGAGAUCCAUUCCUGAUGGUACUCUUUGCGCCAUGUCGAAGAUCUCUUAUAAGCUUUUUCUCUAAUAUUCUGCAUAAUUUGCCUUCUACAGAAAUUGAAACUCAGAUCUCCUGAUUUAAAAACAUUAAUGAACCUUUAGUUAAACCACUGGUUCAAAGGGGCUUACGGUCAACUAAUCUAGACUAGGUUUUAGUUAGGGAGAUAGGUUUAUAGUGUUUAUAAAUUUAAAAUAAUAAUUUUUUUAAAAAAUAGGAAAAAAGUUAGGAAAAAAAUAAUCAUAGAGAACUGAUGUGUGGCGUCUAGAACGUGCACCUUGAAAACCAGCCCUUCAAAAAAUUUCAAUAAAAUCCAUGAGUCCUUCCUUUGCCUUGCAACAUCUUCUUCCACAGGUCAAUAGUUGAAACUCUUUCCGGAUGAACGUUGAAUAAUGCUUGAGAAACUAGGUUUACACAUCGGGAAAAUGUCGAUGGAAUUCUCUAUGAGCCUUGAGAACCAAGUCAAAGCCGGUCCGUUAAGAAUUUCCACGAACAAUUAAUAGUAUACUGCAUCUUUCUCUUCGACGGUAAAGUGUGCUUGUCCCACGGUUAUAUUGGACAUGGUCAUGUGAUCACUAGGAUCAGAUUCGCCUGAGAAAGAGGGAUCUUUAGCAUAUAUGUAGGACGAACUCGGCCAUUUUUUGGCAAGGGUGUCUUCUGUUUUUCUUUGAGGACACGCUCUAGCUCAGGAGCCGAACUCGUUACAGGUGAAAUUUUGACGAGCCAUCCAGUAUUGUGUCCCGAAGAACUUUGAUUUUUUGAAUCGUUGCCUGGUUGGUUUGAUGUGUCUGUUGAUUAAGAUAUUCCAUUAGUUUUUGCGUCAAUGUCAUCGUGGUGGUGACAUCCACAACCGGAAGGAUAGUGCAUGUCCCUCUUCGAUCAUCGUCUCCAGCCAUCUCUGAUAUUUCCUGGCAUUGCUUUGUAAUUCCACUCAAACGACGCCAAUCGUUUCAUCUCUUAACAUCGCCCAAGAAACACUUUCUAUCCUAUUCAUCAUCUCCCGCAACACUCCUCUCUCUCUCUAGCAUCACCUCUACACUCCUCUCUCCGGGCCAGGAUUGCCCAUAUGUCUCCUUACUCCUCAAAGGUGCCCAUACCUCCUCAUAACUCCUCAGCAUCACCCACUUCUCCAUUUGUCGUGUUCUUGCUCGAAUCUUGAUCGUUCUUCGUUUUAUCGCAAUCGUAGUUGUUGUUGAGAUUUUUUUCAAAAAAGUUAAUUUGUUUUUAGUUUUUGUAAAAUCUAGCCAACUGUAGAGUUGGAAACUGUUAUUUUAAACAUCUAAUAUGUUUUAGACAAAAUAAAAUGAUUUUUCUCUUUGUAAACUAACAGCACAAAAAAUGCAAUUCGGAGCAAAACGACGAUAUUUCCAAGAAUAGUCAGCGAAACCUUAAUUCUCAAAACAGUCCAAAACAAUCUAAAGCACGAAACAGAACUUUUCACUUAACGUGUAAAGUAACCAAAUAUUAAUGACAUUUUACUUUACUUAGAGAGGAAUAAAGAAGAAAUUAAGAUAAUGAAAGAUUUUCGAAAGAGAUAAACUCGACUCUCGACAAAGAAAGGAAAAUAUCAGAGGAAAUAUGGAAACAAAGCAGAUGUGGAUCAAUGGCAAUAUGGUCGGCCUUGGAAGAAUAUAUAAACAAGGCUAGGCCAGAGAAAAAGGGGGCAAAAAAUUAGCUCUCGAAAGUCUAUGCACUAAAGAAACCUUAAGUUUUAUUUUUGUCUGUUUGCUAAUGAGCUGCAACCCACCUAGGAUUUCUAGGCUUAUGUGGUUAGUCUAGCGAACUUAGAUAGAUUUCGCUACUUUCGCUUAUUCGACUUCCGUUGUAAUUUUGCUAUCCAGAUCUCCUAGUAUAUAAGCAUUAAUGAUAUGUGAUGUCUAAAACGUGCACCUUGAACAAAAUUUUGGUUUGGGUUUAGUUUGGGUUUCAAGUUCAGGUUUUUUUGCUGAGGCCUAACCCUACCAACAUAAGAGAGUUUAAGUGAGGAAAUUUUAUUUAUCAAUUUUGUUUCCUAAGAUUAUCAUAUAGUUCUUCAGACAAGUGUAGAAAGGGCAGAAGAAAAGUAAAAUUAAUUCAAAUAUACAAUAAGCAUCAACUAACAUCGACUUAGAAACAAAAUUCCACAUUGACUUAGUGAACAUAUGCAUCCCAAUCCUAAAAUUGUAAACUCUAUGUUUCAUACGUUUACGAUUAGAUUAUAGGUCAAAUACAUAAGGACAAUAAUAUUUAUGUAUAAAUAUAAACUAGGUGUUUGCCCGCAAUUUUGCGGAUAGUUAUAUUAUAUAAAGAUAUAUAUCUUAACUUUACACUGUUAUAUUUUUUGAAUAAUAAUUAGAAAUUUAAAAUAUUUGGAUAAUCAAAUAUUUGGAUAAUCAAAAAUUUGGAUAAUCAAAAAUUUCAGUAUAUAUUUUUAGAAAAUAUGUGAAAUUUAAAAUAGUUCAAAAACAUAAACCUUAGUCAUUAAAAUUUUUUCUCUUACAGAAAAGAAUAUUAUAAUUAAUUCAGAUAAUUGGUGGUAAAAUUACUUUAUAUUUUAGUUUAACACAUGAAAAACCGAAAAUACUCUAGCUCUCAAGAGAGAGAAAAAAAAAGAGUGCAUUUUUUGUGUAACUUCAAUAUGACCAAUACAAUGAUCGUAGGCUUUUAUCAUGAAAGAUCUUUUGUAAACAGUUUUGUGUGGGCUUUAAAAACAUAAAAUUUAUAAUAAUUUCUUACCUACAAAUAUAAUUCUUUUAUAUAAUAAUAUAUAACCAUUGAAUUUAUUUUCUAUAAAAAUACUAAAGUAGUUUGUUUAAUUAUAUAUAACUAAUUGAUAAAAAUAAAGAAAUUGAUAUAACAUACAUAUAUAUAUAUAUAUAUAUAUAUAUUCUUUCUCUAAUUCUACAAUUAGUUACCAUAAAUCAUUAUUUGUACUAUCAUUUGUGUUAUUUGGUAAUUUGUACUAAUUAGUUCUAGAGUUACCUUUUAUUUUUAGAUCUGAUUAAAAAAAUAACUAAUAAAUUUUAACAACCAAUCAAAUUAUAACUAUUUUUAAAAAAUAAACCUAUUAAAGACACAUAAUCAAAAGUUUAUUAAAUGACUUCUCAAUUAAUAUAUGGUAGGAUUUAUCUCUUUAAAACCAAGGAUUAAUUUGGUUAAGUUAAACAUAAAAACAUGUAUUAGAAAAUGGUAGUUUAAGCAAUUUUCUCAUAAUUUGUCCCAAAUCACACUUUCUCACUCAUUAUUUUUAAUUUAGUGUUUAACAUAAAACUCACUAUUUUAUCAAACAUUAACUCAUUCAACCAAAUGCUUUUAAUUAAAACUAAUCAUAGUUUACAUAUCUUUUAAAAUUAUUGUUUUAAUUUAUUUUAAAUUAAAUUAAAACAUAUCUAUAUUAAUUAAAUCUAUUAACUAAUAAAAAAAAAUAUUUCAAUUUUUAAAUAACUAAAUGUCGUUAUUUUAGGCAUAUAUACUUAAUAUUAAUGUGAGAUCCAAUAUUAUAUGAAAUAAAAUGUUUUUUAUUUGUAUACAUUUUGUUAAAAUUUUAUUAUCGUACAUUUUAAAAGUUUAUUAUAGUUUAAAAAAUACAUCUCACUAAUAUUUUAAAUAAUUUUUUAUUACUUUCAAUUUACAUUAUAUUUUUCAUCUUUGACUUUAACAAUUGUAGAGAUGGUCAUUUUUAUUGAACUUCCUUAAUAAAUUUAUAUCACAUUGUCUUUAGAAAAUAAUUGGAAUUUUUUUAGAAUUAUAUAUUUGACUGUUUUGCAUUCAUUUGACACAUUUUUAUACUAUAUAUAUAGUGAAUAAGUGAAUUUAAUUAAUAUUAUUAAGUUUAGAUUAAUUAGUUUUCUAAAAUAUAUGAUUUAUUUUAUUCACUGCUAAUAUAAAGAUAAUAAAAACCGUUUUUCUAAUUGUUUCUAUAGUAUCAUAUGUAUUUAUAUGUAUCUUAUCAAUUUAUAUAAUGUAAUCUAGAUAUUUAAUUAUUUCUAUAAAAAAAUUAUGUUAAUUCAUCUAUAUUUAAGAUGCUAAAUUGUAUGUUUGGAAAGAUAGAUUAGAUUAGAUAAUUCUAUGAAUAUUUUCAUUUUAAAAACUUUCAUUAAAUAAAUUAAAAAUUAUCAACCAAUCAAAUUAUAACAAUUAAUCUUAUAUAUUAAAAAAGAAGUCAUGACUUCUUUCAUGUGUGAUUUUUUUUUUUUUUGGACCAUCACUUAGAAAUCUUAUUAAAUGUAUUUUAUUAAGAAUAAUAAUACAUAGAAUCUUUAAAAUACUUUAAUCAUAAUAUCUUUUGAUAUCUUUUUAUUUAAAAUAUAAAUAUAUUUAUUUUAAAAAUCUAACAAAUCUGUUUUAAAAGAUUUUUACAAGAUCUUCAUUUUCGAAAUUAUAUUUAAAUAUUUUUCAUUAAUUUCGAAAUUAGUUUGAAAUAUUAUUAUACAUUAAUAAAUUCACUAAUCAUUUAUAAAAUAAAAAAUAAAAAAUUCUGUAAUAUUUUAUAUAUUAUAUAAUCAUGAUCAAUCAUAUUAAAAGAAAAUUAUUAUAUUGAGCUAAGUAUAAUAAAAUUGUAUUAAAUUUAUAAAUUUUAUUUUCAUAAGUAUAAAAUAUUUAUGUUCAAAAAUAAAAUCUAAUAUGUUGGUAAGAUGGAUUAAGCAAAAUAUAUAAUACAUGUAUAAAAAUUAACAUGUAUUUCUUUAAAGCUUAUAAUAUAAAAUCUUUGUCACUACUUUAAUCAUAAUAUAUUUUCAUUUUAAAUAAAAUAUAUAUUUAUAUAUUAUAUUUAAAAAUUCUAAUAAAUCUGUGUAAAAUUAUUUUAACAAUAAUUUAAUAUAUUUUAAGUUAUCGUUUAUAAAAUAAAAAUAAAUAAAUUAUAUCCUAUUUUACCCACUUUAUAGUCAUGAUCAUGUUAAAAUAUAAUUAUUAUACUUAAAUAAAUAUGAUAAAAGUAAAUUCAAUUGAUAAAUUUAUAAAUUUUAUUUUCAUAAAUAUAAAUUAUUUAUUUUAAAAAUAUAAUAUGAUGAUUGAACGCCUUAAAAUUAACAAACCUUAUAAUACAUGUCUAAAAAUUAACAUAUCUUAGACUUUUGUAUAUACAAUAAUAUAUUAUCUAAAAUGAAUAAGCAUAAAAAAUAUUAGUAAAAAGAAAUACAGCUUUGAAACACGGAUCAGAAUUUAGCAUAAAUUAAAUACAAAAUAAUUUUCAAAUAUGUUUUCUCAUGAAUAUAAUAAUUUGCUUAAUAACUAAAUGCAAAUACAAUAAGAUAAAUAUAUAAUAAGAAGUGAAAAUACAUACGGUUUUAACCAAAUGAUUAAUUAUAACAUGUAAAUUAUAAAAUUAUUAUAUUUGAAAUAGUUAUAUAAACAUUUAAGUACUAGUGGUUGGCCCGCCCUACGGGCGGGUUAGUUUACGCUAAAACUAUUGUAUAUGAAAAUAUAUAUUAAUUUUAUAAAUUUUUUAAAAUUUACUUUAAAAUAAAAUAAUAAAUAUAAUAUUUUUUUAAAAAAAAUCAAAUUGUAUUUAUUAAUAUUUUUUAGUUUGAGUUGAAAAGACCUCUACCAUUUUUUGGUUAUAGAUUACAAAAUUAUGAAAUUAAAAAAUUAAGAAAAUGUAAUGAUUUAUAUUUCUAUUUUAUUUCUAUUUCACUUUGAUAUAGUUGAAGAAAAUCUAAAGUAAGAAUAACAUUUUUAAAAAAAAUUCUAAGAGUAUAAUUAUAAUACUAUUACAAUUAAUUAUCGUCUCCCGAUUAUAAAUUAAUCCACUUCCAAGCUAAAUCAAUUGAAAAUAUAAUGUAAUGUAAUAAAAUUAUAAAAUGUUAUAUUUUAAUGUAAUAUAUAAAUAGUUUCAAUAAUUUCACAAAUAACAAUUAAUCUAUAUUAUUUAACAACAAAAUGAUGUUUUAAAACAAACCAAACCAGAACCAAAGUGGACCCAAUAUUUAUUAGUCAGUUUCUACUAUUGUUGUCCAACUGGAACAAAAACAUUAACAGACAAAUUGAAAUUCAUAAAUAGUCAGUUUCAUUGUUCAUUGUCUAAACACAACAUGAAACACUUUGGUUGCCUCUAUACCAUUUGGUUUUCGGUUCGAUUAUGGUUUUUGUUGGUUUUCCGGUUCUAAAGAUAUAGGUUACCGUUCAAUUAUUUAUGAAUUUCACUUUCGCUAUUUUGGUUUUUGUUCCAGUUUGGAUAACAAUAGUAGAAACUGAAUAAUAAAUUUUGGGUCCAUUUUGGUUCUGGUUUGUUUGUUUUUUCGGAUAAUUCUAGAUAAAUCGGGAAAUUGGAGAUCUUUGUAUUUUUCAGAUAAAAUAUCAGAUAAUUAAAAAAUAUUCUACAUUCUUUUGGGUUAUUCAGAUAUUUUAGUUACUUUGGAUAAAAAAUAUUUGAUUUUUUUCGAGUAGUUUGAUUUAUAUGUAAUAUUUUUAGAAUAUUUGGUAAUUUAUAAACUUAAUGUAAUUAAUAUUUUAAGCAUAUGAAAUGAAAUUUAAAUUUUCUGAUUUGAUUUUUUGAUUCAAUUCCGGUUUGGUUUUCGAUUCUCGUUUAUAUACCUAGACAUAGUUGCUUUAAGCUUUUACACAAACACACAAAAGAGACUAUUUGAAAAUAAAUAUCUAGAAAGUAUAACAAUAAUCUGUAUGCAAUGGGUAUAAAAAAGAAAUGCGGGCUUUCCUCCCUCAUGAACUAACAAUACUACAAUAACUUAAAGACUCUUCUUUUGGAAUAGAUGGAUCUGGUCUUCCUCAAGUACUUCAAGCAUUACCCAAAAGAGUAAACAUCAGACUUCCCAGUCAAUUGUUAUCUUGUACUGGUCUGGAUCAAGAUAAUGAAUCUUCCUAUACCGUCAUACUCACACGUGUCUGGUCAAGAUCUGGACGUCUUAAACAAUCCAAAUUCUGAAACUUUGUCCAUGAAAUUCUCAUCGAAGAGAAUGUUAUCAUACUUCAUAUCGCGGUGGAUGAUACCUCUUGCGGAAUCUGUAUGGAUAUAGUGCAGGCCUCUAGCUGCACCAAGACAUAUCUCAAGCUUCUGUCUCCAGCUCAACCUUGGGCGAUCCAAGUCAUGCACAAUAGUCCUCUUAUUGUUCUCACUGCAAUGCCCGAUUAAAGAAACCAAAUGCAUGUGUAUGAACUGGGACAACAUUUCGAUCACUGUCCUGAAUUUAUUGAUGUAAAGCUAUAGCUGGUUAGUAUAUGUAUUUGAAAAAACCAUUACCUACUGUGGUUGAAGAUUCUUACGGUCCAAUCAGAUUGAUUGCUUCUGGUGGUAGACCAUAUAAUUAAAAAGCCUACUUUCCUCGUUUGCCUUGUAUCUCAAGGACCUCCUGCACUCAAAAACAGAGAACAGUUCGAUUCAAUUAAUUUUUAACACAUUGAGUCAUUCGUUAAUGCAAAAGUGGAACUUUUUGUGGAAGUAAUUCUUGAUUGUAUUACUGAUGAAGCGCUCAGGUGCUUAAUUUCAUUUUCUCCACGUCCCUAAUACUCGAUACCACAUCAUCAUCACACCUGAAAAAAGAGGAAACUUAAAAGAUUAAUAUGUGCCUCCAAAAAUUCAUAUAAUUCAGAGACUCAUGAAGAAACAAGACUUCAAAUGAUGCUAGCCUUCUUUUGACACUAAACACAGUUGGAGUGUUGUCAAGCAGUGGGUUUCCUUUGGGAAGUUCCUCUUCUUUGGCGUUUAGCUCUUCAUUUGCUGCUGCUUUUCCUGGAAAAAUGUAAAUAAUAAAUAUUAAGAUACAACUUUCAUAUGUCAAUGUGUUUAGAAAAAACUAACGUAGUCAUUUUGUUAUAAUUGUAAUCUGAAAUCAUCUCACAGACAAGAACACAUACCUUCCUGAGCCUCUUUAUUUAUUUAUCUGGUCUAGUUCAGCCAUAAGAGAUCCAGUCUCAUCCUCAUCAUCGUCACUUUCUUUAUAUUUAAGAAAGACAACCAGAUCGUAAGAUAACUCAAAGGAAAUUACAAGUCUCAGUUGAUAUAAGUCAUCAAAAACUCUCAAAAAGGAUAACACUGAAGCAAUUGCAUAUUCCCAAACCAGGGCUCUGAGGAAAAGCAUUAAAUCUCAAGCAAAGAAUCUUUAGAAGUUUAAAGCACAAAAGAUGAACUGCAAUAGGAAGGAAAGAAUGGAAAAUAGGUACCUAUCAUCAUCAUCAGAAUCAUCUUCAGAGUCCCUUUUAGAGCCUAAAAGCAGGAUAUCAGAGUUAGAAUUUAGAAAACAUAUAAUCAAACUACUUGUAUCCCGUGACAUAUAAUCAAAUAAACAUAUAAACCUUCGAGUAAUAGCUGAUUCCCUCUCCUGUAGUAGCUUUCAACUAAUGACAAAAAAAAAACACAUUAGUGAAACGAAGGAAGAAUCUUUACAAAAUCAUAUUGAAAAAAAGGUUUGAAAUUUAUCGUCUCACUCAUCACAGUGAGAUUUUUCUUUGGAAGAAAAGUUUCUCCUCUCACGCUCUUCAAGUCAUCACGAAGUUUCUUCUUCUAUAGAACAUCAAGAACUGAUCUCGGUGGUGUUUGAGCAACGGCCUGCUUUCAGAUUUGCGAGAAGAACGUAGGAAGUCGACAUAGUGGGCGGUGAUGCUUGGCAGAGUAUAAUCUUUGAGAAAUCUUAGCGGUGGAGCUGUUCAUGGCAUCUAACGGAGACAUUUAUAGUCUGAAGUCGUACCGAACUCAAACAUGCAUCGCUUACCUUCGUCGCCAAUUAUAAUACAUAAAUGAGGCGGAGUGGGAGGAGAUGUAUGGUGGUGUUAAAUGCUCAUUUUAAUGGUGGACUUAAAAAACGAAUCUGUUACCCAAAGUUUUCAUCGGAUGGAAGAGAAGCGAAAGGAUUAGGGCGUCUCAGUCGAGGAUCAUAAAAACUUAGUCAAACACGGGCCCACGCAUCUGAUACUUAUAAAGACCAAAUUAAAAUAAAAGCCCAUUCACCGAGAGACGAAAAUUUUAGGAGUCGAAGGUUAAGAUGCCACGUGGUGCAAAACGCCCACCUCUAAAAAAAAGACGUGGAGGGCUAAGGUGAGAGAAAACUCUGUUUUUAGGAGUCGAAGGUUAAGAUGCCACGUGGCGCAAAACGCCCACCUCUAAAAAAAGGACGUGGAGGGCUAAGGUGAGAGAAAACUCUGUUUUAUUAUUAUAGAUAUGAUUAAUGUUAAAAAAAUAUCACUAAUGUUUAAAAAUAAUAAUUUAUGUAUAAAAAAGUAAAAACAAACACCCGCGCGGUUGCGCGGAUCAAAAUCUAGUUAAAGAGUUAUUAUAUGAGAGACACGUUAUCAGAAAUCACUAAAGUGACUUCUCAAUUAAUAUAUAUGAAGAUAUUAAUCUACUAUAUAUUAAUUUUGGAGCAUUACAACUUUUGAGUGUAGCCAUAUUGACUUACAAUCCUUCGCAUAUAUAUGACAAUUAAUGAUUUUGAAUAAUAAAGAUUUGAUAAUAUUUUUUGUAUCCUCAAUAAUUUUUGUUUAAUUUAUAUUAUUAAAAAAUUUAAACAAUCACAGUAACCAUAUAAUAAAAAAAUCUAGAUUUUGUUUCUUAUAUGUUAUAUUUAAAAAAAUUUAAAACGAUUAUAAAUUACUAAAACUGUUAAAAGUCUUACAAUGAAAAUUUUGUGAACAACGGUUUUAGUUUUUUGUUAUAAAAAGAUACAAAUGAUCACAAAACAUAUCAAUAUAAAGUAUCAUUUAAAUAGAUAUUCAAUCUGAAUAUCUAUUACCGAGCUUAGAACUUUAGGGUUUAGUUAUAAUCUGAACGAAACCAAAAUCCUAACUAUAAUCCAAAGAUAUCAGAAAUUAGUAUAAUAUGUUAAUGUUUUUUUUAUAUAUGUUAAGGCAAUUUAGAUAUUUUAUAGUUCGAAAGAUUUUUGUAGUUUAUUUUAUUUGUUAUCUUGAAUAUCUUUUAGUUAAUUUAGAUAGUUUAACUAAUUUUAAUUAUAUUUAUGAAUAAUUUUAACAUUUUGAAGCUUUUUUCAAUUUUUGAGGUUUAAAAAUAUAUUUUGGGACGAUUCAGAUAUUGGUUACAAUCCGGUCCGAACCGAACCCGGCCUAAUUAUUAGUAAAACCCGAGUGGGACGUAUAAGCAUAAUAUCAAAAUUUUGAAAAUCUGAAUCAAUUGAACCGAAACCGACGGACCCCGAACGCCCAGACCUAUGAUACAUUUAUAUACAAACAUUUGUAUUCUUCAUUUUACAAUCGAUAAAGAUUAUAAUAUUGUAAAAUGUUAUAACCAUUAAAUAAAUAAAUAUUAGUAUAAAAAUCUUACUCCGCGCCGAUUAUCAUCUAGUAAUAUUAUUUGCCAAAAUCAAUAUACAAGGACAUAAAUAUUAAUUCAUAAAUAUAUUAUAUUUAUGAUUUUACCCUAAAAAUUUUUAAAACUAAAAUAAUUUUCUAGCCAGGUUUUUUGUUAUUUUCGUGUUAUAGGGGAGAAAAUGGUAUUUGAGAAUAUUUUAAAAAAUAAAAAAAACAGCAGAAAGUAGAUAAUUGGUUCGAAAUGUCGUUUUAAUAGGUUCAGCGCCAACAAUCAGUCAGGAAACUAUAACUUCACCUUCCAUUCUCUCUAUCUUCUUUUCAAUCAUCUCCAGAAUGGAAUAAACAAUUAGGUAGUUUCGAUUCGAUGCUGCUCAGCUCAUGUCUUCUUACACCAUCAAAGAAACAAUGGCGACUAAAGAUGAAGUCCAGAACGACCCACUGUUGCAGGCAUCAGAAAGUGACGGUCACGAAGAGUUCAACGGAGCUUCUUUCACCGGAGCGGUACUCAACCUGGCAACAGCGAUCAUCGGUGCUGGUAUCAUGGCUUUGCCCGCCACGAUGAAGAUCCUCGGACUUGUUCCCGGAAUCGUGAUGAUCCUUCUCAUGGCUUUCUUGACCGACAAGACUAUUGACUUCUUGCUUAGUUUUAGCGGAGUCGGGAACGCUAGAAGAUCGUACGGUGGUUUGAUGGAAGAUUCUUUCGGCAAAACCGGAAGGAUUGUGUUGCAAGUUGCUGUUCUUGUUACCAACAUUGGGGUUUUGAUCGUUUACAUGAUCAUCAUUGGUACUUGAUCUUUGAUACUAAUCAGAGCUUUUGAUCUUUGGCAUUUGUUUUAACUCUUGUUUGGCUUGAAGGUGAUGUUUUGGAGGGUAUGCUUGAAGGAUGGUUUGGAGAAAGCUGGUGGGACAAGAGAAGUAUUGUUCUUCUCUUUACAACUCUUUGUGUCUUUGCUCCAUUGGCAUCCUUCAAGCGCAUUGGUUAGAACAAUGUGUUGCAUACUUCUCUUAAAAUGAAAUGGAGAGUGUAUCCGGUUGAUUUAUUAUGGCUUCAUUGCAGAUACUUUGAGAUUCACGUCUGCCCUAUCACUUGUUCUAGCGGUUGUUUUUCUAGUCAUCACUGCGGGAAUCGUCGUUACAAAGUUUUACAGAGGUGGUUUGAUGAAGCCAAGACUCUUCCCAAACGUCACUGACUUGUCAUCGGUCUGGAAACUCUUCACCGUUGUUCCUGUGCUUGUCAACGCAUACAUUUGUCAUUCUAACGGUAACGCUUCUUUCUCACUAAAAGGAUUAAACAGGAACUCAUGGUUUUUUGAUGUUUUCAGUCCACAAUAUACAGAACGAGCUUGAAGACUCCAUUCAGAUCAAAGCUGUUGUGCGUUCAGCUCUAGUGAUGUCCUCCUCUGUUUACGUAAUGACAAGCUUGUUCGGAUACCUCUUGUUUGGUGAAUCUACUCUUGAUGAUGUUCUUGCAAACUUUGAUACCGAUCUUAAGAUCCCUUUCGGUCCGGUUCUCAGUGAGGCAGUCAGACUCAGCUAUGCAGCUCAUCUCAUGCUUGUGUUCCCUGUUAUCUUCUAUCCUUUGCGCGUUAACCUGGACGGUCUCUUGUUCCCUACGGCUACUCCAUCACUUACUACCUCUAAUAUGAGGUUUGGCUCCAUCACUGCCGGUCUCAUUGCUGUAAUCUUUGUUGGUGCAAACUUCAUUCCAAGCAUCUGGGAUGCUUUCCAACUCACUGGAGCUACAACUUCUGUCUGCAUCGGUUUCAUAUUCCCUGCUGCUGUCAUCUUGAAGUAAGUCCCCAUUGUUUCUCAUAACAGACUGGUUUUGGAACCUAAUGGAUCAUUUUACCUGAGGGUAUCUCUUCAGGGAUCGUCAUAACCGAGCAACAAAGAUGGACAAGACUAUAGCCAUUUUCGUGAUUGUCCUUGCGGUUUUCUCCAGUGCAGUUGCCAUUUACAGUGACGCUUACGCCUUAGUCAAGAAGAACAAAUCCACAUUUCCAAUGUGAGCAGAAUGGUUUUGUUUGGUUCUCUUACUCUAAGAAAAAAAAAAAACUUGACAACUGUAAGAAUGACCCCUGUGAUUUUGAUCUUUAGAUCUUGUUCAGCUCUAGAUCAAAUAAAAAUGUCAGAAGCGUCCAUGUCUAGAUCAUAUUUGGCCCUAGAACAAUAUCCAAAUUAAAAUACUGUGUUGAACUGAUACAAUUUGUCACUGUGAAUCUUUAAGAUACAGACAAAAAAACAGCAACAAGUGUCUAUUAGGAGUCGUUGGGACAACUCAAAACAAAACAAAAGAGUUAUAAAGAAUAAAAGGUUUACUUUUAGGAAUUUGACUUAUCUCCAUCGCUGGAGUCAGCCGGAGAAGGGAAGCAUUGGCAAUAUCCAUUAAUGCUAUUUCUUGAACUGCUCUGAUCUGAUCACUUUUCUCAAACUCUUUCUUCUUCAGUGCAGCGAAGAGAAGUUAAACAAAGAUGAGAGAUGUUACAGUCACAAGUGAAUAUAAAUCAGUGCAAAAGCUAAAAAAAAUGUUAAAAAACAUAUCUCAAGUAAGCACUGCACCUGAUAAACAUAAUAGAAAGCUUCUGACUAACUGUCUAGCUAAGAAAACUCAGAGGAGACGGGUAGUGUGCACUCAUCAAGAAGUGCCUCAGAGCCAAUGGAUGGUAACUUUCUGUGAUCUACACAAGAUUGAAACAAAAAGACGGAUCAGAACCUGUCAACAAUUCUGCGUUUAGGCCAUGCGAACAAUGAGUUACUAUAUUUGGAAAGAAAAUAGAACAAUACUCAACGGGUUCUCCACACUCUCAUUAGCACGUAUGAUUAUAAGCAAAUUAACUUCAUAACCUAAAUGCUUCAAGUAUCAACGCAAACCCAUGAUAUGUGCAAAGGCUCAAGCUUUCUUUUCUACGAAUCUAAGUUACGAGAGAUGGGAGAAUUGAAAGCAUGCAUCUAGACCUGUAGAGAACGUCGAAGGAGACGACGGAGGCGCGAGCAUGGCCGACUUUUCGCGUGCCCCAAUGUGAAAUGUAGAAUCUCCUAUGGAUUCCUAGAGUCUCAUAUACCCCUAUUUCAUAAUUAUUUUUUUGAUCAAAAUCCAAACUUUCAAAUCAAAUCCUUCCAGGUCAUCAAAACUAAACCCUAACCCUCCCCUAUAAAUUAGUGAACCCAUGGACAAAUAUUUAAAUUCAGAAUAAAAUAUUUUAAAAUCAUUUUUAAUCAUAUUUUGAUGAUUUUUUUGAAAAUAUGGAAAACAACGUUUUUGGAUUUUUGAAAUAUUUUUAUCAAAUUCUAUAAAUCAAAUAAAAAAUAUUAACGUUUCAAUUUUAAUUUUAUGAUUUUUAGUUUGACAUAUAAAAUUAAAAGAACAAAAAGAUCCUUUUGAGAUUGUGUUAUGAGAUAUAAGGGUAUGAGAAGAUUUGUCUCUCUUUGCGGUUAGAAAAUGUAGGAACUGUGACCAAGAUCUAUAGGUGGGAUCCACUCUGUUUCUCCUUGAGCCAUCUUUUUUUUAAUGCUAGUUUAUUAUGAUAUUACAAUUAUGAAAAAAAUUAUAUAGACGAUUCGACAACCAACAAUACUACUUGCCUUAUGAGGAUUUAUGCAUAACUGCAUCAUGCCUUAUGAGGAUUUAUGCAUAACUGCAUCACCUCAGCCGUCCUAUGAAAAUCCACGUUUGGCCGAAUUUAUUUGCGCCAUGUUAAAAAUCCCUUGUAAGCUUUUUUCCGUAAUUUGUAUAAUUGUUUAAUAAAUCGUUUUUUCCGGGAAUUGAAAGUGGACCUCAUGUAAUAUGCAAAAAUUUGCAUAGAGAUUCGAACCCAAACAUGGAUGUAGAAACCUUUAAACAUUAACCAUAUGAUAUAGUGCUUCCACUAAACCAUCUAUCUAAGAUCCUGUUUCAAAGAAAAACUAAAACUUUAAAUAUUUGAUUUCAAUUAUAUACUCCAACAAAAGUUUAUAACUUUAAAUUUUAAAGUUUUGAAUAGUUAAACUUUAAUUUGAGAUUUUAUAUUUUAAAGUUUUAAAAAAAUUAUCUGUUUUCUAAAUAAUCUUGUUAAGUUUCAAUAUUAUCAUUUUAGUUCUUAUAAUUUCUAUAUUUCAUUAAUAUUUUACAUAUAAAAUACUGAUUUGGUUUGCAACUUAUAUCUAACUAAUAAAUAAAUUUAUAUGUCAUUUUAAAAUUUAUUAACUGAUCAUAUAUAAAAACAUUACAAAAUAAUUUUAUUGAGUAGUUUGGUAUUUUAUUUGUAAGUAAUGAUUUAAUUUAAGUUUUUCAGUUAUCAUUUAUCAUAAGAUAGCAUUUUUCUAACCAAUAUUAUAACUAUUAUAACUUUAAUCAAUUUUUAAUUAAUAUCGAAAACUAAAGUGAAUAUAUAAUAAGAUUUAAAAAUACAUUGUAGGUUUUAAUAUUGGAAAGUAACACCCCAAAUCUCAAAUUUAGGGGUUUUCCAACCUUAAAAAUAUGGCUCCUCUUGAAAAUGCUCUAAGUUGGACUAUGGGUUUGUUCAUGGAUAUGAUCAACUGGAAAAAUAGACUGUUUUCAAAUAUCAAAAUUGUAAUCUCGUUACAGAAUUUUCUUCUUUUUUUUUUAAAUUAGAAAUUUUGUUUAUGUUGAAAUAACACUGUCAAGAUAUGUUAUAGUUUACUAAUUAAAUACAGGAUUAGAGUGAGCUUUGGGUUCUAUAUAGAUUCAGUUGCUCCACCACGUAGACCAAAUUGUUUAAAAAUUGCCUCAAUUUUUUUUUUUUUUGGUGUAAAAUUGCCUCAACUUCUUGUUCAUUCUUUUAUUAGAAAUGAUAUAAAGGAGUGGGAUCUUCAAUUUUUACGAGAAUAUAUGCACCCCGAAGAUUUAACUUUGAUCUUUGGUGUUUCCCUAUGUCUGACCGAUAGGGUUUUGUAAUCUGCGGUUUCUAAUUUUCUUAGUGGUAUAUACUCUUCUGCUUUGGUGUGUUUGCUUUGUUCUAAAUUUUCUCAGUGCAUUACAAAUAACAAUCUUGGUUUUGUGGCUUCGCUUUGGUUCGGGGAGUGCCAAUUCCGGUUUUGAUUGGUUGGUUAAAGCAACAAUUGCAAAGUUUUGGUUUAAGGCAAGUCCUUUAUGUUGCGUGACAGUGAAUACUUUUGUGUUGAGUAGUUUAGUAAUGCGUUCUUUCCAUGGUAAUUUAUUAGCUAUGUGCUCUUUUUAACGACGCAAGGCAACAGCUAUCUUUAAGGAGAAUCUUCACACCACUAUUCUGGUGUUUCUCCUCUGGUGGGGAGGUUUUGGCUUUGCUUCUCUUCUCUGAAAUUGACACUCUUUUUACAGCUGAACCUUUCGUUGUCUUUAACUUGGUAGUCUGUGGAACUCUUGUGCUAGCCUCCACGCUUUAAGGAGAAACAAAAUCUAGAGUCACCUUUAUACUCUUAAACAGUUUGCAUAACAUUUGAUGAGAUGUUUCUCAAAAGUCCAUGGCUUUAUAUCUGUAUAUGGAAAAACAUACAUCGACCAUAAGCAAAGUAAAUAAGAUAGAUUUUGAAUAAGGGAACUCUUUUGUUAGGUCAUAGAGCUUGUUCCAACGUCAAAUUAUGAUUCACAUUGUCUGUCUUUUAUGCAUUUUGGUUUGUUUUGUUUUGUUGAAGAUGAAAGUGUAAUGAGCAUUCGUCAAUCGUUUCUUCUCACGUAUAUUAUGACUAUCCGAGUUAAAGAUGCUAAUUAACCAGAGUAAAACUUUGAAAGCUGAUUUAGAUUUUUCAGAGAAGAGAACUCUGUGUAGUAAGAAGCAUUUGAGAUUGAAGAAAAGAACUAGUUCAUUAACAGUUUUGGUUGCACUAGGAUUCCCAGAGUUAAAAGAUGCUUUUUGGUUGCUUACCACAGUAAAAAGAUUGAGACUUGAGUUUGCAAGAGAAAAGAACAACUUUUUAACAGUUAGAAACAUACAGUAGUAAAACUUUGAAAGCUGCUAUUCAAAUGCUAAAUUAACCGCAGUAAAACUUUGAAAGCUGGUUUAGAUUUGAGACCUGAGUUACUAAACUUUAUAAUGAACAGAAACAACAUAUACUAAACAGAGACUUUAAACAGGAGACAUACUAGACCUUCAUGAAUAUAAAGUACGUACUAAACCUUAAUGAACGGACACUAAACUGAAAGAAGUCUGUCGAUUUCUUCAACCCCAAGACUUUGGUCAGAGUUCUCUUAACGGUCUUUGUCUUCCAGAACCUCAACUUCAAAGGCUUCUUGUCUGAAACAGCAACAUCAUCCGUCGCUAGUUUCUUCUUGGAACCUCUUCGUCUGAUUCUCAACUUGAACAGGUUCGACAGAAACGAGUUACUUGUCUUCUCCUCUGUUGUCUUCUCAUCCUCUUCUUCAACUUGUGGACGAGGCAAGAAGGGAUGAAGCAACAACUCAUGCGCGCUUCCUCUCUCCUCAGGGUUCCUCGAGAAACACGUUUGGAUAAAGUCCUUUGCAUCACAAGGAACCGUUUCAGGUAUCUCUGGAGAUUUACCAGAGAGGAGACGAGUAGCGAUCUCAUCUAGUUCGAGGCCUUCCCAUGGAAUCACGCCCGUGUACAUCUCCAGAACCAAACACCCCACCGACCACAAGUCUAGAGACACGUGGGCGAUGCCGUCACGGACCGACUCGGGCGACAUGUAGAUCGCAGUCCCAAGCCACGGGAAAUUAAUUUCCCAACACAGGGGAACCUCUCCUAUCUCUAACGCGUUGCCGAAAUCACAAAUCUUGACCUCGUAUGAAUUUUGUCUCAAAGAGGAAGAAGGGAAGACGAGUAUGUUGUCUGGUUUGAUGUCGCAAUGAACGUAGCCAUGGUCGUGAAUCGAGACCAAACCUUCGAGAACCAUCCGUGUGAAAUCCCUGAUCAACGGUUCAGGCAACUUUCUGUCGGCGUAAUUGUUCAUGAAAGCGUGGAGACUACCUUCGGAAGCAAACUCGAGUUGUAGUUUGUGGAGUUUCUCCCCGAAUCUGCUGAAACUUUGUUGGAGAGAGUCUCCGAGACAUGUGACGAUCCUGGGACAUCCCUUGAGUUGGAGAAGAACGUGGAACUCUCUUUGGAGAGCGUUGUAGUCUUCUUGGUAAGAGUUCUUUACGGCAGAGAGGUAGAAAGAGUUGUCGUCGGGAUUAUUGUAGCGGACGAGAUUAACAAAACCAUAAGCACCUUUGCCUAGUAACUUGACGAAUUCUUCUUUCGUUUGCAUCUUUUCAAUCGGGUUUUGACACAGAAUCGUUGUUCGGAAACGUUGAGAGAAUUAAAAAUAGGAAACUGUGGCGAAGGAGAAGUGAUUUCAGAGUGUUAUAUAGAGAGUUGGGGUUCAGUUAAGUCGGUGUUGCAGACACACGGAAAAAGGAAAAUUGAAUAACAUAAUUUCCUUUUCUGAGAUACUUCAAAAAGGAAAUUCGAAGCGCUGGCCAACGGUUGAAAAAAGGAAAAGAAUUCGAAUUUUUGGUCAUUUAUAAUUAAAAUGUCCAAAUUUAUAACAAUAAAGAAUUUGUCCACGAUUUAGUUAAUGCUUUCAUAUAAAUUUUUAUUCAUGUCGUUUAAUGCUUAAAAUGUAGUUUGGAAAAAUAUAGGAUUAUAUUUAUUUUCAAAAUUUUAAAGCAGAAAAUGGUAUUUGUUUUGAAACUUCCUCAUUAAACAUAAAUGCUGACAAUGUUAAAAGAACAUAGUGUAUUUGUGACAUCUAAAAAAAACUAUAGAACUUCUAGUGGAAAAAUGUUUAAAAUAGUGACUAAACUUUUUGGCUAUAAAUUUGUUAAGCAUGACAAUUUACCUGAAUUCAAAAACAUGUUCACUAGAUCAAAAUAACCAAAACCGGACCAAAACUUUCAAAUAUUUGGAUACUUCUUAUACUUUUAUAUUCAAAAUAAUCAAACCAAAAAUUAAAUAGACAUCUAUAUAAAAAUAAUUUGAGUCGUUUGAUAUAAUUCGAAUCAUCCUAAUUACUCAAUAUUUUACUGAAUCAAACGAGACCUCGGAUCACAAACAAUUUCUAGUUUUACUAUCUAAACUAGUCCAAAAACGAAACUAUCCGAACUUAUUCAAACCAAGAAGUUGGCAGUUCCUAAAAAUACCUGUUCAAAAUAUCUGAUACAUGUAAUAUCUCACACGAGCCGAAUCGACACCCGAAAUGCCCUAGUCUAAUUUUGUAUUUGAUUUAAAAAAAUCUAACUUUUAAUACACAAAAAAAUUCAGGCUUUGUUUUAGAAAUUUGAAAGAUUUAAUUAAAAAUUGUUGCUAUAACUAAAAAUGUAGUAAUAUUAUAUAUAUAUACUUAUAUAUGAUAUGUAUUAGUUAAUAUUUAGGAAAUUAACAAAUAUGAUAAAGCAAUAAACUGAUACAAUUAAUUAGAUUUAUAAAAUGAAAAUAAAAAUAUCUUAUGUUAAAGAUUUAUUGUUAAAUAGUGUUUUUGGAAUUAUUUUCAUACUUUAGUAGUAUAUCAUGACUCAUUUAAAUCAUAAUGGAGAUGAUGUAAGGGAAAUUCUAUCAAAUAGCUAUUUUUAAGUUUUUGUCACAAAAAUAGUCCUCACGAAAGAAAAUGAUCAAAAUAAUCUUUUUUUUUAUUUUAAAAAUUUUAAUAUUUAUUUUUAUUUUUCAAAAUUUGAAACCCUAUUCCCAAAACCUCACCCCUUAACUCUAAACCUUAAUUCUAGAUUAGUUAACCCUAGGAUAAAAAUACAUUUUUAUCAUUUAGUAAAACUUAUUUCGAUCAUUUUCUUCGUUAGAGGUUAUUUUUGAAAAAAAAACUUAAAAUGACUAAUUUGAACUGAAUAUAUAAAAUAAAUAUAAAAAACUUCAUUAGAGGCUAUUUUAUUCAUGAGGAUUUUUGUGAAUAAACUCAAAAUAAAGCUAAAUCGAUAUCAGUUUGAACCUCAUGAGUCCCUCUUAAAGUGUUUUUCAAAUAUCAAAUACCUUAAAAUUUGUUUGAAUGUGGUAAGAUGAUCCAGUAUACUCCUCUUAGUGUUUUGUUAUCAGUGAAAUCACUGAAUGACCAGAUAAUAUCGUAAUUUGUUGGCUGGAGUCAGCUUAUUAUAAGUUUUGGUUCGAUCCUUUUAGAAAUAGUAAAUGUCGGUUCGGUUCAGAUCGAAUCGGUUUGGUUCAACAAAACAAAUCAACACCUGAGUCCCCCCCCACCACCACCCAAACGCCUCCAUAAACCUCAUGUGCUUUGUUCAGAGGAUCUCGUCUUCUUCUCUUUCUAAUCGAAAAUGGGAACGUUGGGACGAGUAAUCUACACUGUGGGUAACUGGAUUUGCGGGUCUGGGCAAGCUCUAGAUCGCAUCGGUUCUCUUCUUUAAGGGAGUCACCGCUUGGAAGAACACCGUGAGCCACAUUCAAACCCUAGAUCCAAAUCCACAUCUCUAAUUUGUCGCUUACAAGAAAAGAUCUGUUCAUAUUCGAGAAAUUGGUGGUCUAAUUUAGGCUCUCGUUUUCCAUUGGUUGUUGAUGAGUGUGUUUGACAUCUUAUGUUACCUGCGGACAAACAUAUAUCAAUUACCAUUUCGAUUAAAAACUGUUGAACCAUGACAGAGAUCAACAUUGCAAUACUCUCGGAUUACAAUAGACAAUAACAACCGUAAUUUUCAGAAGAAAAAAAAAGAAACUGAAAACGAAGAUGGAGGGCAGAGAGAUAACCAUUUAGGGAGCUUCGGAACGCGAGUAUGCUAUUGAAGCUAUCAAAGUAACUUCUCCAUUACUCUAAGCGACUAUGUGAUAGAUUCCCUAGAAAUUAUCUGCAUAGAGCAAGACUCAAAGUUGGAGUUAUACUUCACUUGUCAUUAUGUAAUCAAGACAGGAGGUGUGUGUUUCCAUUGAUUCUCGAGGUUCUACAAAAAAAUGGUGUAAAGACAAAUGACGGAGUUGUUCUUGCAGUCGAGAAGACUAUCACGUCACCGUUACUGGUAAACUCUCCAUGUGAGACUUUUGGUGGGUUCUGCUCUUUGCUUUUUUAAAGUCUCUCCUUCUUUUUUUCAGAAGCCGGGCAGUCUGGAGAAAAUCAUGGAAACUGAUGACCAUAUAUGUUGUGCAAUGACUUGUCUGAUUGCUGAUGCAUGUAAUACUUGUUGAGCACGCACGAGAGGAGACUGAAGUGAGACCGCUCUCUGUUCCUACUUCCUAAUCAGCUCUGCCUAAGAAGGGUCAUAACUUUUUCUUUUUCUUUUACUUCAGACUUAUGAUUUUUAUGAUGGGAUCAUUUGUAAACACGAUUCAGAUUCACAAUUGAAUUGAACGAAAUGAAAACAUAGUUUUCUUAAAUUGACACUUGUCCUGUUUUUUAAACCUGAUCCCCCCUGCACAAAGUUAUGUAUUGAUUUUGGCCUUGUGAGUUGUGGCAUAAUAUGAGUUAGACCACUUAACUAGUACCACUUUUAGUUACAACAGUACAUGCGGCACCAAGCAAGGAUUGUGUCUUUAAAAGGAGGCGUUAUGAAUUUACCUCUUGAUAGAGUUAUAAGCGCAAUGACAUUAGAGUUUGGAAAGAUUUGUUUUGGUGAGAAGAAUAACAAUACAUGCAGUUUGAUAGGAAUAGUUAACAUUUUCUUAAGGAAUACAAUAUUACAUCAAACCAUUUCAUAAAUGUUAAAGUAAAGAUAGAACUCGGAUCAGACAUAACGGUUGUAAGGGAUACAAAUCAGAUCCAUCCAACCAUUUCCGUUGAUAAAGGUAUAAACCGAGUACUUCUGAGCUUCUUCGUCCGUCAUAUUGGGUUUGUACACAGUCUACACGGUUGCUAAGACCCAAACCCCAGUUCCAGUGUUCUUGUACUCUCCAUACCUCAACGUCCUAGGGUUCCAUGUGAUCCAACCCCUCGGCUCAACCAUGUCUCCUAAAAACAUCUUCAUAACAAGAACCGUUGCAAACGGCUUCCAAGGUCAUCCAAGUUACAGAGCCGGCUCAGAGGACAAACCACACAAACCAUCGUUUAGUGCAUACAAUACGAGAAAACAUAAUAUAUUUAUUAAUAAAAGUUAUAUAAAUAAUACUAAUAUUUUUAUGAUUAUUAUUAUUAUUAUUAUUACUAUCAAAUAAAUACAAAUUAUGUUUAUAAACUUAAUAAAAUUAUAUAAAAUAUAAGUAAAAAUUAUUAAAAAUAUAAGUAAAAAAUAUAUAAAACAUAAGAAAAAAUAUUAUCUUUUAAAUGUGAGAUGUUGUAUUAACAAAUGAUUUUAGUAAUUACGACUGAUUAUAGUUAAAAUGUUGCUGAUAAUAUUAACAAAUAUUACUAUACAAUUAACUUUAUAAAAUUAUAUUUAAUAAUUAUUAAUGAAGUUGAAUUAGUUUAAAGUUUUUUGUGAUAUCUUAUAUUUUACAUAUAUAUAUAUAUAUAUAUUAGGAAAAAAUGUAAAUAUAUGUUGUUAAAAGUUUGUAAGGCAUCUAAAAGUGUUGGACCUUGUUAUGGCAUGUUCGUGCUGUUGAAAAUCACGAAGCCUGGGAAAUAAUUUGUAAGGCAUCUAAAAGUGUUGGACCUUGUUAAACGAACAGAGGUAGGGGUGGACACUUUACCCGAAAUCCGAAGUGGCACCUAAACCCGAUCUGAAAAACCCAAACCGAAAUCCGAACCGAAGUAGCAAAAUACCCGAACGGGUAUUAAAUUAGGAGAGAUUGGAUAUCCGAACCCGAACGGAUAAUAUCCGAACCCGAAUGGAUAUCCGAAGAUAACCGAACAUAUAUAUAAUUAACUUUAUAUUUCUACUUUACAUCUCUCAUUUUAUAUAAAACAUUUAUAUUGAUAUUACAUAUACUUUAAGUUCAUAUGAUAUAUAUAUAUAUAUAUAAUUAUGAAAAAAAUGAUUUGCUACUCACUUAAAAUGCAUGUCAAGUUUUUUACUUCAAAAAUUAACAAAAAGUUACAUCAAAAUUUUAAAAACAAUAACUAAAUUAAUGUUUUUUUAGUUUUAAAAUGUUAUGUCCAAAUCUAUUAACCAUUCAAUCUAUUAAAAAUAAAAAAUAAGUUAAGUGAAAUUUAUAUUUUUAAAUACAAGAAAUUUGAGAAAUUAAAAUUGAAUUUUUUUCUUUCAAAAUCUAAAUAUCCGAACCCGAUCCGAAAUAACCGAAACCGAACUAAAAAUACCCGAACCCGACCCGAAGUACAGAAAUAUCCGAACGGGUUCUACACUUGUAUACCAAAAUACCUGAAAAUCUCAAAUACCCGAUCCGAACCCGAACGGGUAUCCGAACGCCCACCCCUAAAGAUGGAUAUCGUAAUUUGAUGGCUGGAGUCAGCUUAUUAUAAGUUUUGGUUCGAUCCGUUCAGAAAUAAUAAAUGUCGGUUCUGUUCAGAUCGAAUCGGUUUGGUUCAACAAAACAAAUCAACACCCGAGUCCCUCCCCCCACCCAAACGCCUCCAUAAACCUCGUGUGCUUCAGAGGAUCUCGUCUUCUUCUCUCUUUCUAAUCGAAAAUGGGAACGUUGGGACGAGUAAUCUACACUGUGGGUAACUGGAUCCGCGGGUCUGGGCAAGCUCUAGAUCGCGUCGGUUCUCUUCUUCAAGGGAGCCACCGCUUGGAAGAACACCGUAAGCCACAUUCAAACCCUAGAUCCAAAUCCACAUCUCGAUUCGAGAAAUUGGUGGUCUAAUUUAGGCUCUCGUUUUCCAUUGGUUGUUUUGAUGACAGUAUCGAGGCAUCGGACGUUGAUGAGUGUGUUUGAUAAAUCACCAUUGGUGGAUAAGGACGUGUUCGUGGCUCCGAGUGCCUCUGUUAUUGGUGAUGUUCAGAUUGGGAAAGGCUCCUCUAUUUGGUAUGGCUGUGUUCUUCGAGGUAAAGGCCUUUUCUUUCCCACUAAAUCCUUUAAAAUGUUUUGUCUUUGGUAGCGUUAAGGCAAAGCCAAAUGAUAUUUGGUUGUUGGGAAUAGUAUGUCCCCCACAAAGACUUAAAAAACAAGAUUUGAUAUAAAUUGCAAGCCAAGUAUCAAAUUUGCAGCAUUAUACUUUGCAAGAUCGUGUGCAUUCGUUACAGUUUAGAUCUUUGCUGAUUUACUUGAUUGUCCUUUUCAUUUGAAGGUUCUAGGUUUAGUGUAUUCCUGAUGAGACGUUGUGAAAUAGCUGGAACUCAUUGUAACUUUUGUGCAGGUGAUGUGAAUAACAUCAGUGUUGGAUCUGGGACCAACAUCCAAGACAAUUCUCUUGUACAUGUUGCAAAAACCAACUUAGCUGGGAAGGUUUUGCCUACUACAAUUGGGGACAAUGUCACAGUAGGUAAACUUCUAAAACUGAUUUAUCAGCUUUUGAGAAUCUGUUUUAUGUAAUGUGUUCUGUUGCAUGAUUCUUACUUAAAAUCUUUGUGUGUAAAAAUUAAACCGAGCAGGUCAUAGUGCUGUCAUACAUGGUUGUACUGUUGAGGAUGAGGCUUUUGUUGGCAUGGGUGCUACACUACUCGAUGGUGUAGUGGUUGAGAAGCAUGCCAUGGUUGCUGCUGGUUCCCUUGUGAGAGAGAACACACGAAUCCCUUCUGGAGAGGUUUCUUUCUAUUCUCUUUUUCUUUUCUGGUUUACUUUCUACUGCGUUUGUGAUAAACAUAUUGACAAGUUAACAAACAAUUCAUGUGGCAGGUAUGGGGAGGAAACCCAGCAAAGUUCAUGAGAAAGUUAACAGAUGAAGAGAUAGCAUAUAUCUCAAAGUCGGCUGAGAACUACAUCAACCUCGCACAUAUUCACGCAGCAGAGAACUCAAAGUCAUUUGAAGAGAUCGAGAUUGAGAGAGCGCUUAGGAAGAAGUAUGCACGCAAGGAUGAGGAUUACGAUUCAAUGCUUGGGAUUGUCCGUGAAACUCCAGCGGAAUUGAUUCUCCCCGACAAUGUCUUACCGGAGAAAACUACCACCAGGGUUCCAACUACUCAUUACUGAUUCACCCGCCUCAGGUUGUUUUGCAGACAAAGAUUGAUUAAGUCAAGAGAGAUAUUAUCUUUUGGUUUUGCCCUUUUUUUCUUCCGAGUAAGCAUGGGAUUUGUUAUAUUCUUGCUCAAUAAAGCCGAAAAGAACAUGUACUGUUGCAUUAUGUCACAUUUGUUGGAUGAAUAAUUGCAUAAAGAAAAACGAUUUGCAUUCAUUGUGUUCUUCUCUUUUGCUGAUGAUGAUGAAAAUGAGUUUGGUUUCAAGGAUGAAUUAGUGUAUAGAGAUCAUGAUUUCUGAAUCCAAGUUAUAAACUAUUAGGACUUGGUGUUUUGGUUUAGUUUUUUGAGUUCUUAUUUUGCUAUUAAGACUUGGUGUUUUACUAUUUAAGCAAGGUUUUUUUUUUGCAUUGGUGUUGCUGUUUUGGACUAAAAUGUGGUUGAUUUGGUGUGUUUGGUUCUAGCAUACAUAUUUUACAAAGAUGCUGAUGAACUUAAAGUGGGACUAUAAGAUGGUUUGAAUACGUUUUCUAUAAUGCAUACGCAUGGCAUUUGGCUGAGUCUCAAGACCAAACCAAGCAUUGCGUGACUAAUAACAGAGACAUCACUGGAAGCUGACAAACAAUAUUUGGUCAGUGGAACGAGCAGGACCUGUGUUGCCUUGUCCCAUCCACAGACCACCGCUUAUCAAUAAUCCAGACAGUUCUCAGGGAUAUACCGAUUCGUAACAUCUAAUAAGAUGGCACCAGCAUAAAUUCUAAACAAAACAAACCUGAUUCAGUUUGCUUAGGUAAAAACUAUUACUGAAAAUUGUAACCUCAAAAAAAACACACAAAGAUUUCACGCUGAGUAAAAAGCAAAAUACUUGGGACAUAGACUGAUUUUUAAAUUCAGCUUGGAACUUUAACACCAAAGAGCUAAAGACGGACACAGUUAUAAUUCCAAAGUUAUUUGUGAUCAAACUCUAACACUCUCACUUUCUCACAUUUCCAUUGGUGCAACAUCCUGAUCACCUGCACCACCUUGUUCUGCAGCAGCAGCUUCAGCCUCGGCCUCACCACCAUCCUCCUCUUCCUCGGGAACGUUCUCAAACGUAUCAAUCACCUUCUGUAUGCUAUCCUGGUCCAAGAAAUGGAAUGGUUCAUCGACUCCUAGAACAGAAACGGUGCAGAGCGAGCUCUUGAGUGUCUCCCCUUGCAAAGUUUCCCUUAUGGCCAAAAUAGCAUCUUUGAUCAGAUCUUCUCUUGAUGACUCAUUGAAGCUCUCGAAUCUUCGUUCUAGAUAAGUUUUCGCAGCUUGUGAACGUGACCCGAUGGCGAACGCUUGGUACUCAAAGUAGUUUCCGCUGGGGCAGUUGUAGUAGAGGUGGGCUCCUGACUCGUCCAGUCCCCCUACCAGCAAACCCACACCAUAAGGUCGUUUCCAUGACCGUUGGGUACAUACCUGCUCAGAAAAAAAGUAUGAAGAGGGUAAACACAAGAUCAACAAACAAGUUCAACGAUCAAUAAUACCAGAGUUUUGUUCAAAGUACAAGAUUAAUAUAUGAGGCUUAUGGUCAGAAAUCAACCGAGAAAAAUGUCAAUAGAGCAGCUAACUAGACCUGUUGAAGCUGUGAAUACAUUAUUAAACUUAGAACUCUAAAUUAGACGCCAAAGUGAACAUAUACCACAAAGUUUCUAUUGCAAUUGUAAAACAAGAUCGUACUGGACGAGCACAAGAGAGGGUGAGUACACACCACAAGUGAACACACACAAAGUAGCGCAAGUUGAAACCACAAAAACCAAAAAGAGAAGAGCGAAGACUGUAUAUCCAAUUUUGCUUACAAAAUUGAAGAUAACAAAAGAUGCAAACAGCAACAAACACAACUAAAGUAUAAAAGCAGGCACAUUCUUAUACAGUUAUAUUGCCUCAAGUUGAUAACUUGUACAGCAUUCCCUUGUUAUAUUUUUGUUGGUAAAAUUCAAUAUUCGAACCCAUGACCUCUAGCACAAAACUAUGUCACACUGUCUAAAGUCAAUCUCUUUUGUUGUAUGUAAAAUUCAAUAUUCGAACCCACGAACUUGAGGUUUGGAAUGUUAAAGUGUUCUUAUCACAAAGCUACUAUGGUCACAUUGGUCUAAAGGCUAUGUAUGUCUUUUUUGUAAAAUUCAAUAUUCGAACCCAAGACCUUGAGGUUUCAAACGUUAAAGUGUUCCUACUACCACAAAGCUACUAAAAAGGCUAUAUCUUUGUAACUCAAGAGGCGGCGAGAGGAGGGAAAGGAGUAAACCUGGGCCUUAUCAGCAAGACGAACGACGAGGCGGCCAACAGGGAGAGGAGACUCAUAGGUGAAAGAGUGAUUGAUGGAUUCAGAUCUCAUGUAACGCGAGAGCACACGGCCAUCGGCGGUGAGUCCAGCGAUGGCGACACCGAUGUGGUCAUCGACUUUGAAGAUCUUCCUUUGGUGAGAAGAGAGCUCCGACUGGGCUUUAUUGACGGAGGCGAGGACGACAUGGGAGCGAGAUCUGAGCCCGAUUGCGGCGGAGCCUUGCUUGACGGCUUCCAUGGCGUACUCUACUUGGAAAAGACGACCGGUGGGACUCCAUGUUGUCACGUCUGUGUCGUACUGGUUCCUGAACAUCCUUGCUUCUUCUUCUUCGUCUUUGUUCGUCAAAAGAGUGUGUAUAGAGAGAAAGACGCAGUGAAAGAGGAAAAGCUUUUCGUUUGGUUUGGUUUGGUUUCUCUUUGAAGGGACGUAGAUGGGCUCUUAUAAGACCUAGAUGGGCUUACAUAAAUCUAAAAUGCCCAUAGAAAAUAGAGCAAUUGGCGUGCAUUGCAGAAAAUCAUGUAAACAAAUGCUCAAGUCUUAUUUGAAACUGAGUAUAAUUGUGGUUAUUUACCAUUUAAUCAUUUCUCUUUCUUAUCGCUACUUCCUACUCCCUAGAGUUUAACUUAUAGCAAGAGCCGGCCUUGGAAACAAAACGAAGCUUGUGUUUCUGGCCGCCAAAUAUUAAGAUAAUAACCAGCCACAUAUGGACAGUAAAUUCUCAGUAGCAUAGUGGUUGGCGUGUGGUUACAAGUAUUACAGGGUAGCAUAUUACUUGUAGUUGGCUUUGCUUAUAGCAGACUAGUAAUAUUUAUAUAAUAUUUUAGUUAUAUAUUUAUCUCAUAUUUCAUUUAUAACUAGGUGUUUUUAGCACUAUGUGCAGUAAUAAUUUUUAAAAAUUUAAAUCAUCUUUAAAAUAAAUUUUAUUAACAUUUUAGAUUUUAUUAUUUUUACCAAUAUUUUAAUAUAAAUUUAAUUUAAUUAAACAUAAAAUUAAGAUAAAAUACUGUUUUCUUUAUUUUAAAUUAUAUUUAAGAAUAUAUAUAUAUAUGUAUAUUUUUAAAAUUUUAACCUUAGAUAUAUUUUUCACUCUAUUUUUUUUUUGGUUAAAAAUAUUAAUCAACUAUAAAAUUAAUAAAAAAAUGAUAUAAAAUUAUAUCAUUAUCAAAAAUUAAAACUAAACAGUAUUUAUAAAAUUUAUGGGUAUAUAAAAGAAACUAAUGAUACUAGGAUUAAAAAAUUAUAAGUUUUUUAAAAAUUGUAGAAAAUUUUACAAAAUUUAGUAAUAAAAAUUAUAUAAUUCUAAAAAGUAAAUUACAUAAUAUUAUGCAUAAGCCAUGUCAUCAACUUUAGUAGCUAUGUCUCAUUUUUUAUGUAAAAAUGAUUGUAGAAAAUGAUUGUACGUAGAGAGAACAUGUGAUAAAUCACUUCUAAAAUAAUGUCUAUGGGAUCUAAUUUUCUCUUUCUUUUUCAGGUGCUUUUGUUCGACAGAAUUACAAAAGUUAUAAUCACUACUGAAGGAAAAGAUGAAGAUGUUGUCCUUAAUAUGUAUGUAGUCAUCCUAUUUUUCUGCUCAUUUCGAUAUUUUUUUCUAUUCUCUAAGUAAUUUUCUUUCGCACCUCAUGUGAUCUUAGUACUUAUAAAAUCAAAUUUGUGUCUAUUUGAUAAAGACUGGAAGCAGUUAAAGGAGAGAGAGGAGCUGGCUGUGAAAGCCAAAAGGUUUGAUGAUAGUAAUGAUAUCAUAAAUUGUUUUGUUGAGUUUGAAUUAACUCAUUGUGCCGAAUUGGCUCAAUUUGUUUAAAAAAAUGAAGUCAAUAUAUUUUAGAUUUUAUAUAUAAGAAUGUUUAUUUUUACCAGGUAUGUGUUUUUAAUAAUUGAAGGUUGUGUAAUUUUAUAAAAGGAUAUCACUUACAUUUUUUAGUCUAAAUUACAUAUAAAAAUGAUGAUUAGGUAAAUUUGUUGAAAAAAUUAAGUAUAACUUGUAAGUUAAUAUCAAGUUGACAUGAAAUACUCUGAUUUAACCAUAUAUUCUAUUUAAAUAGAAAUCAACAUAACCUUUACUCUGACCUCAGUGGAUUCUUUCAUCAACGUAACUUCACGAACAUGGAAUACCAGACAAUUCUGUCUUUGGUAGAUCCCUAGGAUGUGAAUAUUAUUGAAAGUAUACCAUUGAGCUUGACUCGUAUAACAUACAGAGAUGGAUGUCAUUUUACCAAUAAUGGAAAAUACACUGUGAAAUAUGGAUAUCAAGUGGAACGAUUUUUUCCCGACAGAGAAAAAGCGCACUGAAGGCUUUUUGUUGGAAAGUAUGUUACUCCCUAAAAAUAAAACACUUCCUUUGGCAACUAGUAUCAGAAUGUAUAUAUAGCGGUUAAGAAAAACUUGAGAGCGAGACAUAUUCAGUGUGAUAUAUAUUGUGUCAGACAUAGAGCAAUUGAAGAAACAAUAAAUCAUGUGUUUUUUAAAUGUCCUCCAGCGGUGCAAGUUUGGGCACUUUCAUAGAUCCCAUCAAAUCAAUAUAUUUUUCCGGUUCAAUCAUUCUUUACAAAUAUGAAUCAUCUGUUUUGGAUAGUUUCUCCGCAUAUGGAAAACCAUAAACUUGCUUAGGUUUUAUGGUACAUUUGGAGAGGACGAAACAACAAAGUUUUUAGUAAUUUGGAUACUGAUCUGAGGGAUACUCUCAAAUUGGCAGAGACAAAAUCAUUACUUUGGGCAGAGGCUCAAGAUACUCUUACUCAGAGGGUCGUCCAAUCUAGGGAUGUAGAAGACUCAAUUUUACCUUCCAUACCGAGAAGAUGAUGUUUUACGGAUGGAUCAUGGAAAGAAUAUGAAAGUCAUUCGGGACACAGUUGGUAUAGCAUGCUUGAAGGCUUUCAUGAACUGAUGGGAGCAUGCAAUACCAGGGCCAGUCUUUCACCCCUUCAUUCGGAAAUAGAGGCGCUUAUUUAGGCAAUGGAAUGUGAGAGGAAUUUAAGGCAAUAUCAUGUCAGUUUUGCAAUGGAUUGUUCUCAAUUGGUGAAGAUGGUUUAUGAACCAGAAAAAUAGCCAGCCUUUGCAAGUUAUUUGGAAGAUAUCAAGUUCCUAAAAUGAUGUUUCAACCAUUCAGACCUCAUUCAUAUACCUAGAACACAUAAUACCAGGCCGAACAGCCUCACACACAGUGCGAGGAGACAACCAUCGUUCGUCGUUCAUAUGGAUGCAGAAUUACCAGCUUGGUUUGCAGAGUCUUCAUGAGUCUGUUUAUGUCGAUGACAAAAAAACAUAUUUGAAGAUGAUAUUUUAUUUCAUUUCACUUGAUAUUAGAACAAAUUAUAGUUAUAUAAUCUUAUAAAAGGAUACCAAAAGCAUAUUCGACCUAUUAUAUAGAAACAUUGACUUAUUUUGAGAAGCUUAAAUACAAAUCAUAGUAAAUAUGUACGUCAAACUAUCUGUACUCUGACAUUUCUAGAUCCUCCAUAAGUUAAUGUCGUUGUACUCCAACUUCUCUAGAUAUUCUACAUUUUUUUAUUUAUAAAUACCAGUUACUUGAUCAGUUGAUGGAUAUGUUAUUUUAUUAAAAGAUAUUUCUAAAAGUAUAGUUAUGUGAUUGCACUAGUGAUUAACCAUUUUUUAGAAAGCUUGUCAUGUAUGGAUUGUUGGAUGUAAAAAGUCUACCCGUACAAGGAAACAUAAAAGUAGCUCUCUAAAAAAUCACAACAACAUAAUAUUGAAAAGGUUGUUAGCUGGAUAAAACUUUCUAAGUACAACUAAUAUUAAUUUUAAUUGUACUUAAAAGGUUUUAUCUGGUUAACAACCCCUUUCAAUCUUAAUAUAGUUUUCAUUUGAAAAUUGUGUCAAUUUGAACAUUUUGAUGAUCAAUCAUGCGCAUUUAUUAAAAGAAGGAAAGCUCUAGAUGCAUGUAAACUAUUAUUUUUAGUAAAAAAUAGUUACAAGGAGAAAACACUUUGAACAUGUGAAAACCAAAUGUUUUUCUGUAAACUAAUACUAGUUUAUUAUAUAUGCAUGUAACAUAUCAACCAAUUUUUGUGUGCAGAAAAAUUGUUAGAAUUAGUGUAAGCAUCAACUAAAAAUAGUUUUAAUAAUCAUGGUCAUAUCCACGAGAUCUAACAUCUUCAUUAGUGGCUUCUCAUGUCAACAACUUUUCCUAUGCCACAAUCACUGGAACCACCCACCACCACCACCACCCAUUUUAAUAAAGCUAUCAUCUUUUUACAUUCUAGUAAGGAACCAAAAUUGCAUCAGCUUCUCCAUUCCCUUGAUCCCUUUCACUCUCAUCAAAGAGAUCUUGUUGCGGAUUCCCUUAUCAAUCAUCCUUUUAAUCACUGGUAGUGGCAAUAACUUAUCACCAUGCAUAAGCUUGUUACGCUCUCUCCAUACUGCAUACAGAACUUCUUGGAAAGCAUAUCUUAUACAGAAGAGGCUCAUCUUUUCUCUUUUCUCAUCCAAUAGAAUAGCCAAGAUCUCAGACCAGAUAACUGUAUAGGAGUCUCGUAAAAUACCUUUGGCUAUAAACUCCCAUAUCUGUGCAUAGUAAUCACUUUCGAAGAAUAAGUGACUCCUCGUUUCUGCAGCAUUUUUACAGAGCACACAUGUAGUGUCCAGUCCCUGGCUCCAUCUUGAUGCUCUGUCUAAGGUCGACAUUCUAUCUCUUAUCAACAACCACACCAUGAAUGCAAACUUUGGAGUUUCUUGAGAAAACCAUAUACCCCGAGCCCAAGAGCAUUGUGUCUUACUCUCUCUGAGCAACAACCAAGUUUCACUAGUUGAAAAUCUUUGUUUAAAUCCUGAUUUCCCUUUCCAUAGACUCACAUCCUUUCUCUCUUGAUUUAGCUUUCCCCCAAUAAUAAUCAACUCCUCCUCUAUUUCAAUGAGUAAACUCAUACGGUGUCAUGCGUCUCCUUCUAGUAUUUAACACAGCUUCCUCCAAAGUCGCAACCCUACUCACUCCCAAGUCGAUAAUGCCUCGAGGCCCUAGCAAAUCAAAGAGAGCUCCCUUAUUCGACCAGUUAUCAAACCAGAAAGAUAUAUGUCUUCCAUUACCCAGCUAUUUCUUGUGAAACAUCUUUGCAACUUCUCUAAGUUUCAAUAUUUUACGCCACAUCCAAGAUCCAUUCUGAGUAUUGACGCUUAAUUUCCAGAAACUUUUCCCUUUCAGAAAAUUUUCUUUGAUACAUUUACCCCACAGCGAGUCACCCGAUAACAUUAUCCAUAUCAACUUAAGGCCAUAUACCUUAUUAACUUCCUUUAGAUCUCUUAGUCCCAGACCACCUUCACUCUUCAUACUACAGACAUCUCUCCACGCUACUUUGGCAUUUGACGACUUAAGUAUUGGUCCUGUCCAAAGAAAUGUUGCGCAUUGCUCCACCUCUUUAAUACAAGCACUUGGGAGACUAAAUACUACUAACCAGAAGUUUGAUUAGACUCAUUAAAACUUGUUUUAUUAACUGCAGUCUACCGGCAUAUGACAAGAAUCUGCACGUCCAAGAGCUUAUUCUGCUUCUGAUAUUUUCCAGUAGCGAAAGAUAGUCUUGCUUCCUCAUCACUUGGGUCAUAAGGGGGAGUCCCAGAUACCUCACUGGAAGUUCACCUUCAGCAAAUGGGAAGUUAGUUAAGAUACUCCUUUUCUCUGCCUCCGGUACUCCUGCCAUAUAUAUUGUAGAUUUCUCUAGGCUAAUUUGUAACCCUGACCACUCUUCAAACUCAUCAAACACAGAAAGGGGCUCCCUCUAUAGACUUUUUAGAACCUUCAACGAACACCAUUAAGUCAUCUGCAAACAAAGAUGUGUUCUAGAAAGCUUCUUACAUCCCGGAUGUAGUUUGAACUUCUUAUCAGCCACUGCUCUAUCUAUUUUUAAAGAUUGCACGUUCAUAUAGAGAACAAACAAAUACGGAGACAGAGAACAUCCCUGACGAAGACCCCUCGAGCUUUGGAAAUAGCCAGCUAGAUCACCAAUGACUUGCAGAGAACAGGAUGGGCUUGUGAUACAUAGCUCAAUCCAAUGGAUAAACCUUUCCGGGAAACCCAAUACCCUCAAACUCUUCAGAACAAACUCCCAUUGCACCGAGUCGAAUGCUUUAGCAAUGUCAAUCUUCAUAACACACCUUGAAGACACUGCAUCCUUGUGAUAACCCUUAACAAGCUCAGAUGCAAGCAGCAUAUUCUCCAUGAGAAGUCUACCUUGUAUAAAAGCCGGCUGAGUCUUUGUUAUGAUUCUUGGAAGUAGCUUCUUCAGUCGAUUUGCCAAAAAAAUUGACACAACCUUAUAGAGUACGUUACAGCAUACAAUAGGAUGGUAAUCUUUCAUCUCCAUCGAAUCAAAUUUCUUAGGAACUAACGCAAGAAUUGUCGAAUUAACACCCUUUGGCAAAAACCCAAAUCUGAAGACUGAUUGUACCGCAACAAUGAAAUCCUGAGAUAUAACCGACCAAGCUGUUUUGAAAAACCCACACGGGUAGCCGUCUGUCCCUGGAGCCUUGUUGUUCGGCAUAGCAAAGAGAACUUUCUGAAUUCCAUCUUCAGUAACUUUUGCUUCAAGAAUACUACAAUCCUCAGAUGAGCAACGAAACUUUAGCAAUUCCUGUAACUCCUCCUCAGAUGCACCCUUGUAAUUCUCUGGCUUGUGAUUUAGAAAUUCUGAAAAAAAAAUUCUCUGCCUCUUGCUUUAUCUCUGAAUGUUUAGUCACCACUCUUCCAUAUGUACAUCUUAUCUCCCUGAUCAUGUUCUGAGCUUGUCGGGUUUUGAUAGCUCGAUAAAACGUCUUAUUAUUCUUAUCUCCACUAUCUAGCCAAUGUAGCUUCGCUUUCUGCUUUAAGUAUUCUUCUUCUAGACUUGCCACAUGUAGGCAUUUACCAUAUGUUUAUGCCUCCUCUUUGACAGAUGCUUCGCUCGGAUUUGCUAGUGUGUUACUCUGCUUCACACAUAGCAGAUCAUACGCCUCUUUUGCUCGAAUUGUUAAGUUGCCCAUCUUAUCUCUUCCCAACUCACGAAUCAACGGCUUCAAAUGCUUUAACUUCUUUGAGAAUCUGAACAACGCCGAGGUAGAGUGAAACAGUCUUUUCGUUGUAUCCCAAUACCUCUGGACCAUAGGAAGAAAGUCAGGCAGGCUACCUAUCACAUUGAUAUACUUGAAGGGUCUUUUGACUUUCUCACUCGGAGGAAACAGUUGAACUUUGCACCUCAUGUGAUCCAAACAUCCCCCUGCUUCAAAAACUGCAUAAGCAUUACUAAAUCUUUGCAGACCCUCUUUAUUUAGUAAUACCCUGUCCAGCUUCUUGCAAAUUACUCCAUCCUCCCUCUUAUUACUCAUGUAAACUGUGGCCCUUGAUAAUGUCAGAGAGCUGACACUGAAGAACCAAACUCUGAAAGUCUCUCAUUCCACACGGGAUCCUACUCAUGUUAUCAAACCUCGAACUCUCAGCUCCAUCAAGAAUUUCAUUAAAGUCUCCCAUGAUCAUCCAAGCUUUAUUUUUGAAGCUAGGAGAACUAUGAUGAUGCACAAGAUCCUCCCACAAUUCCUUCCCACCCUCUACUUGAUUACUCACAUAUAUACAUCAGCAAUAGAACUUUUCUUCUCCUUUCAUCUCCACCAAACAAAUGACUAUCUGAUCAGAUUUAUAUACAGGCAUCAUACGAAUCGUAUCUCUCCAUAAUAACCAUAUUCUUCCUCCUUGGCUAUCUUCGUAAUUUGUUAUUGAUGACCAAUCUCCAAACAGUACUCCUCUUAAAAUCUUCCAUGCUUUCCCUUCCUUAACUCUAGUUUCCAAUAUACAACCAAACUUCAACUCCUUAUUAUAUUUACCCACUCUUUUACUAUGGAAUGCUUCAAAUCUUUAUUGAAUCCACGAACAUUCCAGAAAAAGCACGUCAUUUUUAAAGAUUUCACCGAGAAGACCUUUUACUCUUCGGCUGAACCUCAUGAGCCUUGGUCUUCUGAACUCUUCUUCCACCUCUUAGUUUUACUACCUUGUUUUUCUCUUCCAGGAUCUCAUCCUCCAACAAAUCUCCUUCCAAUAUAUUUGUAUUCUCCGCUUCCUCAUGUUCCUCACUCUCCACUUCCUGUGAUUCUUCUAGUUCACCCUCCUCAACUUCAUCUAUUGAAAGAACAUAAUACUUUGACGCCGAGAUUUGGACUUCACUAGCAUCUCUCUGCAGAGAAUUUUGCACUCUCCCUAUUUUAUCUGGUGAGACAAGUGACCAACCACUACCUCUCACCUGUUUUUCCCCAGUGCCUACCAUUUCAGCCUUAUUAACUUCUCCAAUAGAAUCAUCCUCCGAAAUGACUACCUCCCGGUUCUGUAACUCUUCCUCCUGUUUACUAUCUUUCUCCCUCAACCCUACUAUAGCUUCACUUCCCACUUUAUCACAAUUCUUCUCACCAGUUUCCUUCCCCUCUAUCUUCUUAUCUCUUUUCUUCCUCACACAAACCUUGUCUGUAUGUCCCCAUUUCUCGCACAAGUUACAUCGAGAAGGUAACCAUGUGUAAUAAAAUUCAGCAGUGAACUCCUUCCCUCCCAUUGUGAAAUCAAUCUCCUUAGGCAACGUCUUCGAAAUAUCAACAUUCACAAACACUUUCGCUUCUUCAUAUUUUGAACAAGACAUUGUCUUUGGGUGAAGACGAACAGGAAACUCCACAGUACUCGUCAUGAAGCUUCGAGCCUCCCAUGAGAACGUGUUCAGAGGAAUCUUUCUUAAAUGCACCCACAUUGGUAUAGCUUCCUCCUCCUGCUUAUCCUCUUCUACCUUAGGCGUCCAUUUCUUCACAACCAUAGGAACUCCAGCUAUAUUCUACAUUGGUAUAGUCUUCAUGGCUUUAGCUUUUGGCUUUUAUUAUUUCCUCUGUUUCUACGAUAGUUUCUUCUUUGCUUUCAACUGACCCCCAUAACCUAUGUUGCUUCCUGCUUAAUUAAAAAUCCAAUCAAUAUCCACCACUAAAUAGUCAAACUCUUACCGAGAUUGUCUUGUUGUGAACCUCAGCAACCAACCCAUGUGCUUGAUACCAUGUUAAAGUUCAUAGAAAGAACUUUAAAAACCUCAGCCUUCUUCUUAAUCGACAUUGAAAGAGCAUGAAAUAGUGUGUUGCAAGAGCUUAGCUUAAUGUAAACUUGAGUAGUAUCUGAGUUGAUGAAAAGCUGCACAUUUCUCACUUUGGUUUCUCUGACAUCCAAAUCAGUUGAGACCAAUAUAAAUUUCAAUGUGGUAUUAGUCAGGUAAUUGAAACCUAGAGAAGAAUAACACAUGAAAGGAGUCCAUCAGAGACAGAUAGGCUAAGAAUAACACAAAUGUUAAGUGUAGGCACAAUUCACACUACUUAACGCUUACACUUUGUAGUUCACCUAAAGGAUAAAAUAGGCUAAGAAGUGCCUCGUUGAAUGUUGUACCAGAUAUUUUCGGAUUAUUAACUGCAUAAAAAAGUUAGACACAUUUCCAAAGAGGAAAAGAACAUUACGAUGUAGUCUCUAUAUAUAUUUACAAAUGUCGUAUAUAGUAAAUACCAAGUAAUAUAGACAAAAACGAAACGGAAAGAAAAAGUUCUUGCGAUUCAUUUGGAGAAACAAACAUUGACACUAAGAGAAAUGGAUCUAAUAAAGUAAGAACCCUUAUCAUACAAUUUUGUUUUCCCUUGAAGUUCGGAAUGUAUAAACGGAUCUACGAAACCUUCAUGGUUAAGCUUCCCGUCCACCUUGAGGCGACGAAGUAGCAGUUCGUAAUAUGGCAUUCAAUCAAGGUUCCCACUACAUUUUCUUUAGUUCAAGCAACCGAUGUUAUUGGAUAACACCAACACAGAUUUUCGAGGUCUCUCAAAAUUGAACCUUUACCAGUUUUUCUUCUAAUAUUUUAUUUCAUCGAAACCAAAAAGGAAAGAAAAAGUUUUUGCAAUUCAUUUGGAGAAACAAACAUAUACAUGAAGACAAAUUCUAAAUAGAAAAAAAAACAAUAUUGGAUAAAAUAAAGGACCUUGAGAGCGUGAGGGGAUCACCAACAUCUGUCAAGCUCUGCAUCUAAGGUGGAUUGUUCUGUGUGGAUCCUAGAUCAGAGACAAUGAAUCAAAUCCAAAAAUCGGUGAAUAAAGUCAGCGGUUAAUCUUGAGAGCGACAACGACGGAUCUGGAAGUUCUGAUGUUAGAGACGACGAAUGGGCUUUAUAAAACAAAAACCAGACAUCGAAUAUAAGCAAAAGCCCAAAAAAAAUUAUAAACCUAAACAAAUAAAAUGGUGAGUUUUGUUAAAGCGGACAGGUGUCGCUCCCAGAACGCACGACUUAGUGACAUGGCAGCACCAGGAGGGAGCAAACAUCUUUUUAUAUAAUGGAUAAAAGAAAGGACCUUGAGAGCGUGAGGGCAUCACCAACAUCUGUCAAGCUCUGCAUCUAAGGUGGAUUGUUCUGUGUGGAUCCUAGAUCAGAGACAAUGAAUCAAAUCCAAAAAUCGGUGAAUAAAGUCAGCGGUUAAUCUUGAGAGCGACAACGACGGAUCCGGAAGUUCCGAUGUUAGAGACGACGAAUGGGCUUUAUAAAACAAAAAGCAGACAUCAAAUAUAAGCAAAAGCCCAAACAAAUUAUAAACCUAAAUAAAUGAAACGGUGAGUUUUGUUAAAGCGGACAGGUGUCGCUCCCAGAACGCACGACUUAGUGACAUGGCAGCACCAGGAGGGAGCAAACAUCUUUUUAUAUAAUUAGAUAAUUAGAUAUGCAGAUUCACUUAUCCACAAUAUGAUGUACACACAUGUUCAAACUCACUUUCCACUUUGUUUUAUCCAUGCUCAGGUGUCCAUUUUGUUUUGUCCACUCUCACUCAAACUUCAAUUUUAGACUAUCUACAAUGAGCUAUUGAAUAAUAAAAAAAAAUCAAUAGUUGAAAAGACAAUGGUCUAUUGAAAAACAAGUUGAAUCAUACUUAUAUUAAAUAAAUUUGAAAGAAUUUAACAAUGUUGAAUCGGUAAAGUGGAGCCAGAGUGAAGCCAUCAAUGACCACCUUUCAUGAAGUUAUUGGCUAUAGAGAUUUCUGAUUUGUUUUUCGUCUGAAUUAAUUGAGAUAAAUUAUUUCAUUAAAUAAUUUUGAAAAAAUAUAUUUUUACACCAAGAUUAUCAUGUUUCAUAUUUUAUAAAUAGAGACUUGCUCCAUUUAAUUUUGAAACAAAAAAAACUUAUCUAUUUCUACUAUAUUUUCUAGUAGACUACAAUAAACUCUUGUUUAUAUAUUUUCCCUUUUUCAGUGAAAUGAAUCCCAAAAAUAACUUUUUAACACCCAAAGUUCUACUAAUCAUCCUUUUAACUAUCCAAAUCCAACAACUAUCAGUUUUAAAAUAUUGGAGAAAUGAAUUGGUGCAUACGACAACGCUAAGUGUAUGCAGCAAGGUAUUAGUCGAAAAUGAUAUAUUGGCGCAUGAGCUAUAUUAGAGUGAUAAGAAUGGGCAUUUUAUUUAAUGUCAGAAUGAUGGCUCGCUGUCUGUGAUCAACCACGUUAUGGUAGUCAAGUAUGAGGAAAUACUGGUUUUGGAAGCAGUGGAUUUAAGAGAGCCCAUGAAAGUGAUGCUCGAAACUCCAGAUCUGUAAAAUUUAGUGCUCGUCCAAUGGGGAUGAAUGCAUAUAAGAAGAAAAAAAGAUAAAAAUAUGGGCUCUUACCAGCCUUGGAUGUGGUCAAUGAAAAUUUCAUUGAAUUCAAACAAAUCAAAGGGCAAUAGUUGUAACACUUGAAAAAAUUAGUCAUGUUGCAAAAGAAUUGAAACCAAAGGUGAAAAGAGGCAACCCAAAGGAAAGAAGAAGCAAACAAAUUAAUGAAAUAAAAGAUUCGGUCUACGAAUAUAAAGAUGUGGUUGAAGUCAAGUGAAAAGGUACAUCUCAGUAACAAGAGCAGAGAAAUGUCCCAACAGUUGAGCCACAAAUUAUUUGGAAAUUAAUUGUAGUCCCAAGUGGAUGUUUAUAUCAUGUCACUUCAUGCUUGUUUGUAUCAUGUCACCUCAUGCUUUAAUAAUGUUUGUUUGCUACUUUUUCUUUUAAUAAUGUAACAUGUGACUUUUGGCUUUUAUUGAGAAAAUCUUAUCCUCCAAUCACUCAACAUGCUUUAAGCAUUGAAUGUGGGGCAUAACAAAAGAAGAAAAAAAAUAACAUGCAUCGGACUUUACAUUUAGUUUUCAUUCAAACUUAAAAACGUAGAAUCAUUAACAAUAAUAAAAUAUAAAAGUACUUGCAUGAAGAAUAAACUUUUUUAUAAAAAUCUUUCCUACAGGAAAUGGUAAAAGAGUGGGUUGUCGACUCUGGGCACCAAUGCAUGUCUAUCUUUUUUUCUUUUUCUCUUUGUCUAUAAAAAUACUACACACUCUUCAUUUUCUUCUUUCAAAGGGCAUUCAUUUCAAAUGACAACUGCAUCUUACUAUUGCGAGAACCUUGCAAGAAACAACCCCCAUCCCCCUUCCGCCCAAUCAAGUACCAGUUGCUUCGCAGCGCGGGUAGCCUCAAAUCAAAAAUCUUCUCUACUCAUAAUUUUUUUUUAUUUUCUUGUUUUAUAUAAAAAUUUAAGAUGAAGUUUUAUAUUAUGUUUAACUGAUUUUUCAUAUUUUUUAAGGUUGUCUCAUAUGCUUCUUUCCACCAAACAAUUCAAAAAUCAGAUACAUUUUUUUUGUUUCUUCAAUAAAUUAUGAAACUUCUGAAUUUUUUAAAAUAAGUUAAAUUUCUAUUCGAUAAUACUCAGUAAAAAUCAACCUGUUAUUUACAAAUAUAUUAUAACAUAUGCAAGCAUUUCAAUCAUCUAUAUAAUUUUAAAUAUUAUCUAUAUAUAUAUAUAUUAGUUUUAUGAAUUUAUGCAUGUUAUUGAUAUAAAAAUAUUUUUUUAUAAUAAAUUUAUAUUUGUAUAGUUAAUUAAUAUUUUACAAAAUGAAAUAGUAAAUAUAAUUUUUAUUCGUUCAUAUAUGUACUAUAACACAUGCAUGUAUUUUAAUCUUAUGUAUAAUUGGUUUUUUAAUUUUUUAUCUUCAGUUUUCUCUUAUAUUAAUAUUUUAUUAAAUAUUAUGGUACAUAAUUAAUUUCUAUAGCGAAUUAUAAAUACUUUAAUAGGUAUAACAUUUGUUUAAAUCUUAUGUAUUGCAAUUUAAUUACAGUCAAUAAUUAUUACCCAUCCGUUUUGAUUUACUUGUUAUUUUAGAAAAUCACGCAGAUUAAGAAAAUUAAUAUUUUUUCUGUUAUACCCUUAUCAAUCAAAUUUAUUUACAAGUUUAGUUAUCUAUUUAAUAUUUUAAAUUAGUUGUAAGAAAUAAUUUUCUUGUCGAAUAUUUUGGCUCUUAGCAUUCUUCACCAAAUUAUCUUUAACUAUUAGUUCAAUGAAUUAAUUAAAUUGACUACAUACUCCUGUUAACAUCAAUAUAUUUAGAGGGAAACUAAAAUUUUUACGUUUAAUUAUACGCAAAAACAAAACAUAGUGGAGGCAAGUAAACAGUUCAAAACUUUUGACAAUCAGUAUAUAAACAAAUCGUGCGAUAACAAAAGUAUCAAUGGCUAAUUCUGGUCAAAACCUUUUUACAUUCAACAAAUAAAAAGCAUUAUUUUGAUUUAAAAAAUCGUGUGAUAACAAAAGUAUCAGUGCCAUUUUCUGUCAAAAAUAAUUACUGAAAAAAUAUAAAUAGGCUUGUUAUCUUUAGAUUAUAAACAGUCUGGGCAAUUUUAACAUACAUGUUGACCACAUUGGAAAAGAUAAGAAAAAUAUUUCAUUGUAGAAAAUGGCGGUUGAGAUGAUGUUAAACGAAGAUUUUUUGAAGUAUAGUUAGUUAAUUUAAAACAUUUUGUUAUUUUAUAUUAAAGUUAGAAUAGUUAUUUUCUUGUAUAAAUCAUAUUGAAAAACGAGAAUGACGCUUAAUUUGUGACAAAAAUCAAACCUAAAACGACAAGUAAAUCGAAAUGAUGGCAGUAAUAUAUAAUCAGAAAAAGAAACAUAUAAGAACGUAAAAUUAUGAAAAAAAAAUUGUAGGGUAUUUUUCAACAAACCAUUGUGAAAUAUAAAAAAUGAGUGGGUAUUGAAUUAUUAUGUAGACGAUAGAAACGAUGACGGGGAAGAGAGAGCAGAUAAUGUUGAGUGUAUGAAAUGUUGAAAUCAUUGUGGAUAAUGUUAGACUAUCUACAAUUGUGGGUAAAUUUACCACCCUCAUUUUUUUUUAUUUUUUAACACUCUAUAUCAUUUUCUCGUUUUUCCACCUAAUUAUUCAACAACAAUUUCAUUUUUAACCAUACAAUAGUUUUGUUUAAUAAAAUUCAACAUCAUACCCCAUAAUUUUUAAUUCAUAAGUUUUUAUUGUUUAUAAUUUAAACUAUAUUAAUAAUUUGAUUAUAAUUAACUUAAAUAAUUAAAGUAUCAAAGUUUUUACUAAUUUUUAUUUAUAUCCUUCACUAAGUUUUGAAUAUCAAUAGUACAACUAAUACUAUUAAAAUUCAACUAUGUUCUAAUUAACACACAAAAAAAAACUGCAAUAUAGUGAAAACAAUUAUUUUCUGGUGUCCAAAUCAAGGAAACCAAGUCUUUAUCUAUAGAAUAUAAAAAGUUAUGAAUUUUGAUAUAACUUAUUUUAAAAAACAUAUUAUUUGAUAUACAAUAAUUGAUCUUAAAAACUAUGGUGAAAUAAAAAUCUAUAAAAUCUAAACAACUACUAAUAUAAUGACAUGUGUACCAAUUCACUCAUUUUAAUUUUUUUUUAAAAACUAAAAAUUCAUUUUUGAUAACUUUUUAUUUAUUUAAGUGUGUCUUAUAGUGAUCAAGAUAACUUUGUGGGUUCUACUGUUGGCUCUUCCAACAGGUUGAAUCCACAUCAUAUUUUUAAGUUUUUCAACAGAUUCAUUGUGGGUAGUUUUACACCAUUAACAAUGAUUACAUGAUUCAACACCCUAUUUUCAUCUUUUUAACAUUCACAUCAUCUUCUCUCUCUCUUCCACACAAUCAUUCAACAACCACUUUAUUUUUGUAACAUCUACCAUAUUUUUGUUUAAUAAAUUCAACACUUUACCCACUAUUUUUUAAUUCAUAUUUUUAUCCUUUACAAUAUACUAACUAUUUAUUAAUAAUUUUUUAUUAUAAUUAAAAUAAAUAUUUAAAAGGACAAAACAAAUUACCAUUUUUUUCAAGUUGGAUAUUCAUAUAUUUUAAAAAAUAUAUUAUUAAAACAAAUGAAAUCAUUAAAAUUACUCAUACCACCAAGAGGUAUUGGCAUAGAUAAUUUAGAAAAAUCAGUUGCUACAAUAAUAUUUCAAAUAGAAAAAAAAUAAGGUGUUUGAGAAAAAUAAAUCAUCAUUGAUCGAUGAUAUGGAAGAUAGUUUGGAAAAAUGAAGACAUGAAGAAAUUUGGUGAAAAACCAUAAUUUGGUAUAUUUUUUGGUUAAUUGAAAAUUUAGUUUUGAAAUUGAUAAUUUUGGGGAUUUGGGUAAUUACAAAGAAAAUUAGAAGAAUUUCAGAUGUUAAAAGAAUUAUUAUCUCGAUCCAUUUAUCAAAAAGAAGAUUAAAAAACCAAAAUAGUUUAUUAGAGUGAAAAAUGACGUUUUAUUUUUUAUACCCAAAUGAAAUGAAAUUGAUCUCUAUUUAUAGAUCAUAACAAAUCACGAGUUUUUGUACAAUAUUUUUUAAAUGUUAUAACACCAAAAUAGUUGAUUAUAGUGAAAAUGACGUUUUAUUUUCUGUACCAAAAUUAAAUGAAAUUGGUCUCCAUUUAUAGAUCAUACAAAAUCACGAGUUUUUGUAUAAUAUCUUUUAAAUAUUUUAGUAUAAAAUAAAUGAGUUCAAAUUAUUGGGUAAUAUUUUUGAAAAAAAAAAGAAUCUGGAAAGCCACUGAGAAUCAGAUAUGUGUCUCUAUCUAAAUACAUCAUGAGUGUUAUACACGCGUCCAACAUUUUUUCUAAUUAAAAUUUAACAAGUGUCAAAGCUGCCCCAGAAAGAAAAAAAUUGGUUGAAUACUUUCAACUUUUAUGAAUCCACGUGUUUUAUUCCCAAAAUCAACACUCUGGUUGCACGUUGUUCAACAGUUGAAUUAAUAACUUAACAUGUUCACUUUGGAUAUUCUUAUAACAUUGGUUUCAUAUCUUGUUCUACAUCGUUGAUUCAUCACUUAUUCAAUAUUAACUUCCUGGUAGUCCAUUAAAUUAAGUCUCUAGUUUUUUUUGCAUAAAAUUUGAUAAAAUUUUGUGUCUAGUUACGACACAAUGUUCACAAAACUUUAUGAAUGUAUUACACAUACGAGCACAUUUAUGUUUUUCUUACAGAUAAAGACACAUUCCACUUAAGAAGCACAUUGUGUUUUAAUCAACGAGAUUUUUGACAUAUUUACCCUUGUUCUUGAAACAGAGUGUAGACGUUCCGUUAAUAAGACUACCUUUGUUUUAUUCCCAAAAUCAACACCCUGGCUGCACGUUGUUCAACAGUUGAAUUAAUAAUUUAACAUGUUCACUUUGGAUAGUCUUAUAACACUGGUUUCAUAUCUUGUUCUACAUCGUUGAUUCAUCACUUAUUCAAUAUUAACUUUCUGAUUAGUCCAUUAAAUUAGGUCUCUAGUUUAUUUUGCAUAAAAUUUGAUAAAAUUUUGUGUCUAGUUACAACACAAUGUUCACAAAACUUUAUGAAUGUAUUAAACAUACGAGCACAUUUGUGUUUUUUUUACAGAUAAAGACACAUUCCACUUAAGAGGCACAUUGUGUUUUAAUCAACGAGAUUUUUGACAUAUUUAUCCUUGUUCUUGAAACAGAGUGUAGACGUUCUGUUAAGAAGAAAUGAGAACAAUAAGUAACUAGUUAUAGCACUUGGGUAUUAAUAUUUUAUAUAAUUAUUAUAUACUACACUGUUUUAUGUAACGGAAAACAAACCAAAUGAAAAAGACAUAGUUUAUCUUUAUUAUUAUCAUUUAUUCUACCUCUUUAUAUUUUGUUUUACUUUAUUUUAAAUUUAAAGAUAUAUAAAAAAUGCUUGAUGUAAUAAAUUAUGUUCUUUAUUCUCUAUAAUUUGUCAUCAACUUUGAUAUUUUUAUUUUAAAUUUAUACAUAAAAUAGUAUGGACUAAAACAUGGACAAAGGAGUUGUGGAUAUGAACAUUCUGAUUGUGUACAUUCCAAAAAUGACUAAAUAGUUUUAUAUGUUAGCAAUUUGAAUAUAUAAAAACAUAAAUUUUUGUUGGAGAAACCAUGUGAAGUGAAUUACGUAUUUUAUGGAAGAGAAAUAUGGUCAUAUAUGUUGUGGAUAAAUAAAGAAUAUGGGUUCAUACAUUAAGAAGACCAUUCUGCAUAUUUAAGAAUUUUGAGGUAAAAGCUUAAAUAAUCAAAAGACAAGGGACCAACAAUGCAAAAAGAUAAAACAGCACCAUUGUUGGUCUCGAGACCUCUGGCUUCUAAUCAACUUGGGCGAGUGAGGCAGGAUGGACUCCGACUCCUUUCACCAACAUGUUAUCUCGGCUAUACUUUUUCGUAUAAACCGCAAAUAAAAACCGAUGUUGUUCUCCGUUAUCUCUUUCUCUCUCUUGUUACAGAUAUGGCUUCUCGCCACUGUUUCUCUCUUUCUCUAGUUUCUCAAUCUUCAACUGAAGCAAUCUGAAAAACCAUAAUAUGAAGAAUACUUGGGUAAAUGAUAUCUUGCAUAUUUACAUUGUCUUAUCCAUUUAUUCAUGUGCAUUUUCAUCAUAUAGAUUAGGAUUUAGCCAUGUCUAGGUUGCAUUUUGCAUACAUAUGUCUCUAUCAGGUAUUUGAGUACCACAUGGAGUUUCUGGAGACAUUUGGGUGCAUUUGGAGCUCAAAGGAGGUGAUUAGAGUGGUCUUUGGACGAGCACUGCCUGAAGCGACUUCUCGGAGCGACGGCAUGAGGUCGCUGUGCACCACAUCCCGGAGCGACUCAUCCAGAGCGACUGCACAAAGUCGCUCGCGUUUUCACAUUGAGGUUGUAGAAAAAUCCCUUGUAGAUUUCAAAAAGAAAGAGUUAAAGUUCUUAGGAUCUAUUGGUGAGAGAUGUGAGUUGGGUUUGACAUUUGGGAAUGAUUGUGUAAUUGUAUGUUUGGGAAAAGGGUAGAAUAAUGGAGAUUGAGCAUUGUAUGCAUGAGUUGGUCCCUUUCUUAGAUAUAUUAUGUGCAAUGUCAAGGCUACUUGUUUUGAGAGUAAACCACCUUAAAGAUCAUAUGUUUUGAACCUCUUGAAUCACUUGAAUAAAAGCCUUCCCUUUCCCAACCAAAUGACUUGGACCAACGGACCAUUUGCAAGAAUUCACCUGAUGUUUUCUGCUUAAUGAAUGUGAGAGUUGGUUGAUUUGAAUGUGUGGAUGCUUGAUGAUGAGUGUAGGGACAAAAGGAGUUGAGAUAGGCCUAGAGAAGCUAGAGUGUAAUAAGAGAGUGUGCUAAUUAUGUUUGCUAGUUGUGUUUCUUUUGGCUAUGAGCUCCCACCUUCAAACCUCUCUCCUUAUGAGUUCUAGAAAGUUCACUUGAGGACAAGUAAAAGAACAAGUUUGGGGGAGUUGAUAUCUUGCAUAUUUACAUUGUCUUAUCCAUUUAUUCAUGUGCAUUUUCAUCAUAUAGAUUAGGAUUUAGCCAUGUCUAGGUUGCAUUUUGCAUACAUAUGUCUCUAUCAGGUAUUUGAGUACCACAUGGAGUUUCUGGAGACAUUUGGGUGCAUUUGGAGCUCAAAGGAGGUGAUUAGAGUGGUCUUUGGACGAGCACUGCCUGGAGCGACUUCUCGGAGCGACGGCAUGAGGUCGCUGUGCACCACAUCCCGGAGCGACUCAUCCAGAGCGACUGCACAAAGUCGCUCGCGUUUUCACAUCCGGAGACACACAUUUUGAUCUCGGAGCGACCUUCCAGAGCGACGUGCUGAAGUCGCUCCCGAAGCUUGGAGCGACCUUACCAGAGCGACAGGGAGAAGUCGCUCGCCAUUUUGGUUCUCGGAAACACGAAAUCGCUCUCGGAGCGACCUCUCGCAGCGACCCAGCGAGGUCGCUCCCGAAGCCUAGAGCGACGUGCUGGAGCGACUUGCCGAGGUCGCUGCGCGUCGCCUAUCUGCUCGAAUUAAUGUUUUCUCAAGGGCCUUUUUGUCAUUUUAUUAUGCACGUUUUUUAUUCUGAAAACCUAUGUUUUAAUACUCUGUAAGCCACCAAGAGGGGAUUAUCUUUGUUCUUAGAAAAACCACCAAAAACCUUUGGAAAGUCAUCUCUUUGAAUCAAUUGAUCAGUUUAUUAUUGAGAAUUCUGUGUUCUUAUCUAUUUUUCCUGUGUUUCUCUACAUGAUUAAUCUGAAAUCCAACAUGGGUUUAAGAGGAAUCAUGGAGAUUAGUGAGUAAUCCCUUUUGAAUUCAUGGGUUAGGGAGAUUGAGGGUGAUUAGGUUAGAACUAGGAUGUUUUAGUGUAGAUCAUUCAUAUUUCCUUGCUAGUUGAGUGAGCAUAAUGCAUCUUCUGAGUUGGCCACUCAGUAGUUGAAUCUUAGGCAUUUCCCCCCGAAAGGUGUUCGAGGAAAUGCCCGAGACAACUCUUUUUAGCUUUUAGCAUACUUUGCCAAAGACAUUUGUUGUUAGAGGUGCUAAGAUAGCCAUUGGACUUGCUGGUUAUGAUUGCUUUCAUAUUAUUCAACCAAAGACAUUUGAUGUUUGAAUUGUGUUAAGUAAAUGAACAUUCAUCUAGACAUAGAGUUUGUUUAGGAUUGUGUCCAAGCUUAAGGUUAAUAGAUUGAUUGAUCGUUUGCCAUCUUUAGUUCGAAACUUGAUCACCCGAGGUCUAAUCCCUAUAUCCAUGAGUUCUCUUUUCCAAUAGUUAAGAAAGUAUCAUUUAGUUAUUUCUUUUAAUUAGUCAUAGUUUAAAAACCCAUCUAAAUCAUUGAUUGCACUUAGAUUAAGUGAUUACUUGCAUUCUCGGUGCUUUGAUAUCUCUCAGAACUGGUUCGACAAUCAUUUAUACUACAGCAUUUGUCUUAGGAGCCUUGAAAACUCCUAACAUCAAAUUGGCGCCGUUGCCAAAUUCUGAGUAGAUUUAAACAUUGAGAUUUAGUCAAUUGCUUGAGACUAAGUCAUUUUUAUUUUCUUUUGUUACUGACUCUUCUUCACCUCCCUUUAAUCUACAGGUGUAUGAACUUGCGGAGCAGGGGUCCAUCAAACCUAGUUCCAAGAGCAGCAGACAUCAGAGCUUUAGAGAGAGAGUGUGCUAAAAGAGAAGAGAAGAAGAACAUCAGGCUCAAUUGCAGAGACUGAACACUGACAUGGGAGACGUUCAUCAAGAAGAUGCAGGCGUCAAUGGCGCUAACAACAAUGGUCCACCUAACCAACAGCGAGCAGCUCGACCCAUUGGCACUUACGACCGUCCAAACAUUCAUGGUCAUAGAUUGGGAAUCCGAGCACCCGCUGUGGCAGCCAACAACUUUGAGAUCAAGUCAGGACUCCUCAACGUGAUUGAGAACAACAAGUAUCAUGGCUUGGCUCUAGAGGAUCCAUUUGAUCACUUGGACAGGUUCGACAGCUACUGUGGGUUGUCAAAAACCAAUGGUGUGUCCGAAGAUGCUUUAAAGCUCAAGCUAUUCCCUUUCUCUUUGGGGGAUAAGGCACGUCAGUGGGAGAAGUCUCUACCCAGCGACUCCAUUACCACUUGGGAUGACUGCAAGAAAGCAUUCUUGGAGAAGUUCUUCUCUACUUCAAGAACUGCUAAGCUGAGAAACGAGAUCUCCAGCUUUCAACAGAAGGGCUUGGAAGGUUUCAGUGAAGCCUGGGAGAGAUUCAAGGGCUACCAAGCUCAAUGCCCACACCAUGGUUUCUCUAAGGAGAGCUUGCUGAGCACAUUCUACCGUGGUGCUCUCCCUAAGUACAGGGCCAGACUGGAUACAGCUAGUAAUGGGUUCUUCUUGGGGAGAACUGAGGAGGAUGCAGAGGAGCUGGUUGACAACAUGGUUAAGAGUGAUGCAGUCUACAGUGGAGACCACGACAGAGGCAGUAGAACUGAUGAUAAGCAGACGAGGAAGGAAUUGAAGGCUCUACAGGAUAAGAUAGACAUCCUCAUUGCUGAUAAAGCUACCCAAGAGCAGCUGCACUUUGUUGGCAACCCAAGCCAAGAGACACCAGUUGUUGUCCAUGAAGUUGAGGGUUUGGAAGGUCAGGAAGAGCUGUGUUUCAUCAACAACAAUGGUAGCUGGUACAAGAAAGAACCCAACUUUCAGUACAACAACUACCAACAGAAAUCCUAUUCCAACAACCAACAGAGUGGUUAUCAGCCUCGGAACAAUCAGCAAGGCAGCUAUCAACCUCAGCAAAACCCUCCUCCUGGAUUCAACAACAAGGGCAACCAUUCUUCCCAACAACAAUCUAAUCCCUCUACCUCCACUCCUCAAGUCAGCAGCACUGAUGCUCUACUGAAACAAAUCCUGGAGUCUCAAACAAGAAGUGAGAAGCAUGUUGGCUAUGAGUUGAAGAAUCUUCACUCAAAGAUUGAUGGGAGCUACAAUGAGCUCAACAACAAGUUCAGAGCUUUGGAGAACCAGUUUGCUGCCAUGAACACUCAACAAAAUCGCCAACAAGGUUCUCUACCUGGAAAAUCUGAGCAAAACCCCAAGGAAACCAUGAAAGCUAUCACUCUCAGGAGUGGUAAGGAGUUACCUCAGAGAACUCUCACCAAGGAUGCUGAGAAACAAAGUGAGGGGGUUGCCAUCACCAUAGAUGAUGAAGUGGUGAUUGUUGAUGAGAAGAUCAAUGACGAGAUCUUGGAAAAGAUAGUGGAAGCAAAAGGAAAAGGAAAGGUUGGAGAAGAGAAGAAAACAGUUAAAGAUGGUGAAGUUGUCACUCCUGCAAGUGAAAACUCUUUUGUUCCUCCUGCCUAUGAACCCAAGCUUCCAUUCCCAGGUCGAUUCAAGAGGCAGCUGCUAGAGAAGUACAAAGCUUUGUUUGACAAGCAAAUGAGUGAAGUCCAGGUCACAAUGCCCAUUAUUGACGCUUUCAUGCUGAUCCCUCAGUACAGCAAGUUCCUCAAAGAUGCUGUAGCUGCAAAGAAGAAAGAGAUGGAGGGCAUGGUGAUUCUCACUCAUGAGUGCAGUGCUAUCAUUCAGAGACUGGUCAUUCCAAAGAAGCUAGAAGAUCCAGGAUGCUUCACAUUACCUUGUGCUCUUGGACCUAUGGUAUUUGAUAGAUGUCUCUGCGAUUUGGGAGCUAGUGUCAGCUUGAUGCCCCUAUCUGUUGCUAAGAAGCUGGGUUUCACUCAGUACAAGAAGUGUAGACUUUCUCUGGUAUUGGCUGAUCGUUCAGUGAAGUACCCUGUGGGUAUCUUAGAGGACCUCCCAGUGAUGGUUGGAAAUUAUGAGAUCCCUACAGACUUUGUGGUGCUUGAAAUGGGUGAAGAAGCUCAAGAUCCUUUAAUCCUUGGAAGACCUUUCUUAGCCACAGCAGGAGCUAUUGUUAAUGUUAAAGAAGGCAAGAUUGAUCUCCAUCUGGGUAAAGGGCACGUUCUGCAUUUCGACAUCAAGGAAGUAAUGAGGAGGCCAACAGUUCAAGGACAAGUGUUCUACAUCGAAGAGAUGGAUGCCCUUGCUGAUGAACUCCUUGAAGAGUUGUCACUAGAGGACCCUCUACAGCAUGCUUUAACUGUAGAGAAGGAGACUGAGGUGAUUGAGAACCUGGAGAGUACUGCCUAUGGGAUGAUGCUGGAUUCACACCAGGCGUUUUUCAGUAAGGACCAGUACGAGGAGCUUCCACAGAUGGUUCACCAACAAGUCUCAGUCACUCAACAAGAGGACAACCAGCAGGAUGACUGGAGUGAACUUAAGGCACCUAAAGUGGAGCUUAAACCUCUUCCCCAUGGUGUAAGGUAUGCAUUCCUUGGUCCUAAUGAAACUUACCCUGUCAUUGUGAGUAGUGAACUUACUGAAAAUGAGCUAUCUGAACUUUUGAAAACACUUAAAAGAUUUAGAAAGGCAAUAGGUUACUCACUAGAUGACAUCAAGGGGAUAUCACCCUCUUUGUGCAUGCAUAGGAUACAUCUUGAGGAUGAAUCAAUGACUUCUAUCGAGCAUCAAAGAAGGUUAAAUCCUAACCUGAAGGAUGUUGUAAAGAAAGAGAUUCUUAAACUCCUAGAUGCUGGUGUUAUUUACCCUAUCUCAGAUUCUAAAUGGGUAUCACCUGUGCAUGUUGUACCAAAGAAAGGUGGUAUCACUGUGAUCAAGAAUGACAAGGAUGAAUUGAUACCAACAAGAACCAUCACAGGUCAUAGAAUGUGCAUUGAUUACCGAAAACUAAACUCUGCAUCUAGAAAGGAUCAUUUUCCACUACCAUUUAUUGAUCAGAUGCUUGAGAGACUUGCAAAUCACCCAUUCUAUUGUUUCCUUGAUGGGUACUCAGGAUUUUUCCAAAUCCCCAUACAUCCCAAUGAUCAAGAGAAAACGACAUUCACAUGUCCCUAUGGUACCUUUGCAUAUCGAAGAAUGCCAUUUGGACUAUGUAAUGCUCCAGCCACCUUUCAAAGGUGCAUGAUGUCAAUUUUCUCUGAUCUGAUUGAGGAUGUUGUGGAGGUAUUCAUGGAUGAUUUCUCUGUCUACGGAUCUUCGUUUUCUGCUUGUUUGUCAAAUUUGUGCAGGGUCCUACAGAGAUGUGAAGACACCAACCUUGUGCUGAAUUGGGAGAAGUGUCACUUCAUGGUCAAGGAAGGGAUUGUGCUAGGACACAAGAUUUCAGAGAAGGGGAUUGAGGUGGAUAAAGCCAAAAUCGAUGUUAUGGUUGGUCUGCCUCCACCAAAGACAGUGAAAGACAUCCGGAGUUUUCUUGGUCAUGCUGGAUUCUACAGGAGGUUCAUCAAGGAUUUCUCCAUGAUCACUAGACCUUUGACCAGACUGCUGUGCAAGGAAGCUACCUUCAGUUUUGAUGUAGAAUGUCUACAAGCUUUCAAGAAGCUGAAAGGUGAACUCGUUAGUGCCCCAAUUGUCCAGCCACCUGAUUGGGAUCUCCCUUUUGAGAUCAUGUGUGACGCCAGUGACUAUGCUGUGGGAGCUGUUCUGGGGCAGAAGAAAGAUGGCAAAACCCAUGUGAUCUAUUAUGCCAGCCAAACCCUCAAUGAUGCCCAGAUGAAGUAUGCCACAACAGAGAAGGAGAUGCUGGCAAUUGUUUUUGCCUUUGAGAAGUUCAGGAGCUACUUGGUUGGGUCUAAAGUCAUUGUCUACACAGAUCAUGCCGCCUUGAGACACCUUUUGGCCAAGAAGGAUGCAAAACCCAGGCUUUUGAGGUGGAUCCUUUUGCUCCAAGAGUUUGAUAUGGAGAUCAAGGACAAACCUGGAGUUGAGAAUGGAGUAGCUGAUCAUUUGUCCAGGUUGAGGGUAGAGUCUGGUAUCCCUAUUGACGAAGGACUUCCUGAGGAGCAGAUCAUGGCUAUCGAAGCAGUGAUAGCAGUUUGUGAGACUGGUAGGAAGCUGGAAGAAGUCAAAGCAACAGAGGAGAAGGAACCUUGGUAUGCUGAUUUGGUGAACUACCUAGCCACAGGAAGAGAACCUUUGAAUCUUGUAGGGUAUGCCAAGAAGAAGUUCUACAAGGAUGUGAAAAGAUAUUACUGGGACGAACCCUACCUCUACAUUCUCUGCAAAGAUCAGCUUUAUAGGAGAGUGGUUGCAAAUGAGGAGAUUGAUGGGAUCCUUGCACAGUGUCAUGGAUCAUCCUAUGGAGGUCACUUUGCCACCUUCAAGACAGUUGCAAAAGUAUUACAAGCUGGAUUCUGGUGGCCACACAUGUUCAAGGAUACACAAGACUUUGUUUCGAAGUGUGAUUCUUGCCAAAGAAGAGGAAACAUCACCAAGAGGAAUGAGAUGCCUCAAAAUCCAAUCCUUGAAGUUGAAGUGUUUGAUGUCUGGGGUAUUGACUUCAUGGGACCAUUUCCAUCAUCUUUUGGCAACAAAUAUAUCCUUGUGGCUGUUGAUUAUGUCUCCAAAUGGGUGGAAGCCAUUGCAAGCCCCACCAAUGAUGCUAGAGUUGUAAUCAAGAUGUUCAAGAGCAUCAUCUUCCCAAGGUUUGGAGUUCCAAGAGUUGUAAUCAGUGAUGGAGGUUCCCACUUCAUUAACAAACUGCUUGAGGGACUUCUCAAGAAGAACGGUGUGAAGCACAAGGUGGCAACUCCUUAUCAUCCCCAAACAAGUGGCCAAGUUGAGAUUUCUAACAGGGAGAUCAAAUCUAUCCUGGAGAAGAUUGUGGGGAUUACAAGGAAGGAUUGGUCUAAUAAGCUUGACGAUGCACUUUGGGCUUAUAGGACAGCGUACAAGACACCACUGGGUACCACACCUUUCAACCUAGUGUAUGGGAAAGCUUGCCAUUUGCCAGUGGAGCUUGAGUACAAGGCACUAUGGGCAAUAAAGUUGCUGAACUUUGACAUCAAGAGUGCCAAGGAGAAAAGGCUCUUUCAGCUACAUGAGCUUGAUGAGAUAAGAUUGGAUGCUUUCGAGAACUCAAGAAUCUACAAGGAGAAGACUAAGGCUUUCCAUGACAAGAACAUCCUGAAGAGAGAGUUUAAAGAAGGAGACCAAGUUCUUCUCUACAACUCUAGGCUGAAGUUGUUUCCAGGAAAGCUUAAGUCAAGGUGGUCCGGUCCUUUCAAGGUCAAGGAGGUUAGACCAUAUGGAGCAAUAGUUUUGUGGAGCACUGAUGGAAGAGACUUCACAGUCAAUGGACAAAGGGUUAAGCUCUACAUGGCUACUGCACCAGAGGAAGAUGGGGUUUCAACUCCACUGUCUGAUCCUACCCCGGCCUAAUCUAAAAGGAGGCAAAGUCAAGCUCGGGACUUAAAACAAGCUCACUUGGGAGGAAGUCCCAUGCGUAUCCUUGUACAUAUUGCAUUGGUAUUUCCAUUUUUCAUCUUAUUGCAUAAAAAAAAAAAAGAGAGAGAAGUUGUGUGCAGGUGCUUGAUCGGUUCAUUUUGAGCAGGAGUCGUGCGUGGGAGCGAGGUCUCACAGCGACACCUCAAGGUCGCUCCAGCUGGGAGCGAGGUUUCGAGAGCGACACUCCAUGGUCGCUCGCGUUUUCGUCGUCGGAUCAAGAAAAAAUCGCCUCAGAGCGAGGUCUCGGAGCGAGGCCGAAGGGUCGCUCCAGCUGGGAGCGACAUUAUGGGAGCGACACCUCGGAGUCGCUCGCGUUUUCGACGAAACGGAGCUCAAAAACUGACCCGGAGCGACGUCCUAGAGCGACACCUUGAAGUCGCUCCAGCCCAGAGCGAGGUUUCUAGAGCGACACUUCAAGGUCGCUCGCGGUUUUGUCGAAACACGACGCGAGGAAACGACUCGGGAGCGACCUCUCCCAGCGACACCCUCACGUCGCUCCCGAACCGGUCCAGGUAAGUUUCCUAACUCUAAACCCCGGUUUAAUUCAAGUAAACCGACCCUAACCACCCUAAACCGAACCGGACGACCCUAAACCUACCCCAACCCCCGCGACUCCUAUCUCUCUCACUCUCCCCUCCUCUCACAAACUCACAAACUCUCUCAAACUCACCCACACCAAAAAUCCCAAAACCUUCUCAAUUCUCACCCAAAUCAACUAGUUCUUGUUUCUAAACCAAGCUUUCGCCCCUGUAGCCUAUUCCUCACCACCCAUUCACCAUUUCCUUUCAUCCAGAGCAAGGUAUUGAGUUUUUAAAUUCAAAUUCGUAGGUCCAUGAACCCUAGAAUUUGAAAGUCGAAAUUUGGUCACUUUCUUGCUAGAUUGUGGUGAAAUAGACUAGGGAAAGUUUAUCUAUCAAGUUGGGUUGUUGAAUUAAUGGUGAAAUUGAGUUUAAUUUGCACUUUGGCAAAAUUAGGGUUCAUGGAAUUAGGGAUUUUCGAAUUUGACCUUAAUUGGGUGAGUUUGUGGGUGAACUAGAUGUGUUAAGGUGUUACAAGAGUGAGAAUUGUUGCAUUGUGUUGAACUUGAGUUUAAAUUGAUAAUUCAUUUGUUAAGUUCACUUUUGCAAUUUUCUCUUGCAAAAUCCUGUUUUUCUUUACUUCCAACUACUUAUCCCUUUUCAAGUUUUUACUUCUUCAGGUGAAAAUGGUUAAGAAGACAAAGGGAAAGUUGGAAGCUGAGAAGCAAGAAGCUGAAAGAACAGAGUUUGCAUUAAGAGGAAAAGCUUUAUCCUGCGAGCCAACUGGGUCAGGGACGCAGAGAACCGUUCGACAGCAGACUUUGGCUGCAAGGAAAUCGCAAGAACAAGAGAAGAGGGCUGGGAAAAGUGUAGCAGUUCCCACUCAUGAGGAGAGUGAAACUGAGAGUGCUGAUGAGCAGGCACCUACGAAGAAAGCCAAGAUGUCCAAAGGAAAAGGGGUUGCUGUUGAUCGAGACAGGGCAAAAACUCCAUCUGUGGAGGAGCUGUAUGAUCACUUGAAGAAUGGGUCACUUGGGCUCCAACCAGGUUCGCCGACCUCGAUUUGCUGAAGGAGUUGGGCCUAGAAUCCGAUAUUGAGGCGAUGCUGGGACAUUUGAAGAUGCCAAAACUCCUCACCAUGGCUUAUCCUUUCUACAAGGAUGUCACUUGUCAGUUCCUAUCCUCUCUUGUGGUCACUUACCACGACACGGCGCAUGUGAGGCAAGGAUGGGGAAAAAUCACGUUCAAGGUCAAUGGAAGGGAAUACAACAUGAACUUCAAGGACAUUGGGAGGGUCAUGGGGUUCCAAGACCUAGAAGACCACUCACUUCCCAAGUGUGAGAACCUCCCCACAGAGCUUUGGAAGUUGAUCACUGGAAACAGGCACUCUACCGGGGCUGACAAGAACUCACACAUCCGACACCCGUCUGUACGCUACCUCCACAGAUUGCUAGUCCAUGCUUUCUACCCACGGAAGCAAGCUGGUAAUGUUACUGAGGAAGACAUGCGACUGCUCUGUCCGGCUAUCCGUCCUUACGCUCAACCUGGAGUGUUACCCCUUCCCAGCACUGAUAUCUAUGCUACCUUUGGGAUGGUCAGUUUCUUUGUGGGCCGUCUCGAACACUACAGAGACUGGGCGUGGUACACCACUGAUUCGCGCCCAAAGAUGGGGAUAGGCGGAAUGAUCACACCACUGCUCCAAUUUCUGAAUGUUCCCUUGGGAAAGGACGCAGCGGGGCCUAGGUUCAUUGAUGGCACCUACUUGAGGAUUGCCACCUAUUUCAGUGGGAUGUAUGGGAAGGACUACGUCUACCACUACUACUUGCAGGGCAAGCCAGUCGAGGUGGUUCUUCCAAACCGGAACCUGACGAGUUUAGAGAUACCAGGAGCUGUCAGCUUCAACAUUCCCCAGGAGUACUUUCUCGGAGAACACGGGCCUCUCGAUCCAAUUCAAGCAGCUUCAUCAAGGAGAAGGAGUGUCCCUACGCAACCUGACCCGCCUGUUGCAGACACGUCUGAGCAUAUCUAUGGACCUCCGCGCUACUACUUCAAGCCCCAUGACGGAGUCCUUCCCCCUGGAGCUCUCCGUGAUGCUCAUGACCACAUUGGUCGUCUCCAGAGGUGGAACAAAGCUCAGGACAGAACGAUAGAAAAGCUGAAGGAUAAGUGCAAGGCGCUCAGCAAGACUGUGAAGAAGCAGGCAAAGACUUCAGCCAAGUUCAUGAAGAAAGUAGCUGAUGUCUUAACUAGGGGAGGAAUAGCUGGAUGUAGCUCAGCCGAUUUCGCUUUCGCGAACACCUCAAACCCCCAGCCCCCACCCCCGCCUGAUGCUCUUGGCUUCCCCCUCACUGCUGCGCAGCUUCAGCGUAAGUGGAGGAACCCACCCACUCAACCUUCCACUUCCGGCAACAAAUCCCCAUCCCUCGCUUCUUCUGACAGUGAGCACGAGAUUGACGAGGUUGAGAGCCAGCCAUGGUAUGGAGGCUCCGGUUCAGCAUCCGGUGGUUACUACACCACCUUCCCUCCUGACGACGACGAUGCUGGGGCAUCUGCCCCCACCUAUUAUCCAUAGGAGGUACUUCUUUCUCUCCCUUGUAUAUACCAUCUCAUUUUUUUUUUUUUGCAUAUUAGUUUUCUUCUCGGUAUCUCCUUCUUUCUUUGACAACACAGAGACUGUGUAACUCAAGUUUGGGGGAGGUACCAAGCAUUUGAUCACGUUUGCUUUGAUUGUGUUUCAUUUGAGUCAUGCAUUGCACACCUAUUUGCAUAAAAAAAAAAAAAAAAAAGAUUUUUCAUUUAGUUUGCAUCAUUUGCACCAUUAGGAGAGUCUAGAGCAUAUAGGGUGCAUUCACUUGCAUUGGGAGCAAUGAUUUUAAAUGCCUUGUAAAGAACACUACGUUGCACCAUUGAGUAGCCAUGCACCUCUCGAAAAGACUUGUAUGUUUCGAGCCUUGAAAACUCUUCUUGAAACUUGUUGAUUGCUGAAACUCAGUCUUUGAAGCCAACUACAACCUUAUUAGAAAUGAAUGAACUUAAUGCUUCUUGCUUAGGGUCCCUUGUGUACUGAGUCAUGGCUAUACACACUGGAGUUGUCACAUCUUUUAUGCCAAUCUUUUUGACAAACUCUAGUGGUAGACCACUCCCAAAACCUUUCCUUCCUUUUAAGCUUUCAUUGUUUGAUGAGUGAGGCCUUCUUCGGAAAGUCUUACAUGCGCAUAAUGUUGAGAGUAUCGGGAACGACAAUGCUUGAUCUUCAUUUUUGCUAGAUUGGACACUCUUUUGUCUAGCUAUAGGUGGGAGGGUGAGUGUUGUGAUCAUGAUUUGGGAGAAAUGAAAAAUAAAAAGGAUAGACUCUUUGUGCUUAAGUGAAUUGAUUUUCUGGGAUAAGUAGAGAACCUCUAGCUCUAGUUUCGAAAAGUCUUGGCCCCCAACCUAAAAAAAAAAAAAAAAAAAAAAAAAAAAAAAAAAAAAAAAAAAAAAAAAAAAAAAAAAAAAAAAAAAAAAAAAAAGGGGGCUAGCAAAGUUGUUAGGAGCUAAGAAAUGUUUUGAGGUUGUAGAAAAAUCCCUUGUAGAUUUCAAAAAGAAAGAGUUAAAGUUCUUAGGAUCUAUUGGUGAGAGAUGUGAGUUGGGUUUGACAUUUGGGAAUGAUUGUGUAAUUGUAUGUUUGGGAAAAGGGUAGAACAAUGGAGAUUGAGCAUUGUAUGCAUGAGUUGGUCCCUUUCUUAGAUAUAUUAUGUGCAAUGUCAAGGCUACUUGUUUUGAGAGUAAACCACCUUAAAGAUCAUAUGUUUUGAACCUCUUGAAUCACUUGAAUAAAAGCCUUCCCUUACCCAACCAAAUGACUUGGACCAACGGACCAUUUGCAAGAAUUCAC
rnacentral:lncRNA from 1 species